rnacentral:lncRNA from 1 species
UAUUUUUUCGUACGAGUAAUUAUCUGAAAUGGUUAUUAGAAGAUAAAAUUGAAAUAGAAAAUGUGAAAAAAAAAUCAAUGAAUAUAAGCAAAAAAGAUCACUUGAGUGAAUUUUUGAAGAUAUUUUUUUUUUAUUUAUUUAAAUAGAUUUGGAGAUAAAUGAAAUUGAAUUUGAAAAUAUAUUAUUUUAAUUUGUGAUUUAAAUUAAUUUAAUAUUAAUUCUCACAAAUUAACUAUAUUUUUAAAUUCACUCUUAUUUAUCUUUAAAUUUACUCAAAUAAAUAAAAAAAAAAUUAUUUUUAAAUUUUUUUAAAUUCAUUUAAUUACUCUCUUUACAACAUGUUAUAAAAAUUAAUUUAUAAGUAAGUAAAACUAAAAAUGAAGGUAAUGUAUUCGGCCUUUACCCGAAUUAAUUAAUUAUUUAUUAAAAAAAUCUACCGUUUGGAUAACGAGUAAAUCACUCAAUCCUCAUUUAAAAAAUGUUUCUUUUUUAAAUGGCCAGGUUCCUUGAGUUGGAUAUGGCGUGAUGGUGAUUGAACAAACAACUUUGGGAGACAACAGUGACUCUGUUGAUUAGCUUUGUUCUCUUCUCAUUGCAAUUUGAAGCACAACCAAUUUUCUCAGUCAAUGCCGACAAGCGACUUCUUGAUCUUUGUUCGGUAACCCUCCUCUUCUCCAAUCUCAGUGAUUGCCAAAGAAGAUAACUUUUGGUCAAAAUAAACAUGACCCACCAAAAAGUUUUGAUUUUGUUCGUAGUUAGAAAAUGGGGUUGUCAUUUUAAAUUUCGGUCGCUGUGUUCUUGUAGUCUUUGUGCUGCUGAAGCGUUGCACUCUGGAAGUAGUAUUUUGAGGUGAACAACAUGAGCCAGUCGUUCUAAGUCUAAUUGAUGUUGAUUUUGUAGUGUCCUCACUUUUCUUCACUCUUUAAUUGUGUUUUGGUUUUGCACUACUUGUUAGAUAGAGAUUUAAAAUGAAACUAACUUUUAUGCACAUGUUGGAAUGAGGGGAUUCCUCUAUUCAUAUUCCGCUGCCGUCCUACCAAAGAAAUAGGAAAUAUUUUAAGACACCCUUCAAAUAUUUGGGAAAACGAAAUUAAAAUCUGAGUAGAGGGGCCAAAGUUUUGUUGUUUUAUCUAAGUUACUUGUACCUUUGUCGUGAUAAAGAAUAUAUAAAAUAUGUGAUCAUGAUGAUUGCGAAUGCUAUUGUUUUCUCCCAACCUUUCUUUUAACCCUUGUAUCCAGAGGAACCAUAGUUUCUAGGAAGAAUAAAUGCUUAUUUACCUUGGUUUUUAACCUACCCAAUCCUAGUUUCUGAAGAUAGCUUUGAAGUUAUUGUCUCUCUUUCAUUUGUCCUAUUCAGAAAAUAUCGGUACCAAGAUGCAACGUUUUGUAGGUGUAAAUAUAACUUUCCCCACAAGUAUGGUCACUGUAUUCAGUUUCAUACUACUUUAUCCUUGAUUAUUGCUAGUUGUGUUUUAGCUAGUCGUAUAUGAAAAGGUGUCAUGCAUUAUUGUCUGGAGGAUCUUGUUAUAUUGAGAUACUUUAAUGUUCAUGGUCACACGAAGAAAGCUUUGAAAGUUAGAACAAUGUUUUGGAAAACUCCGUCUGUGGAUUUUUUUUAAAUGCAACAUUGAUGGUGCAGCUAGAGGGGCUCGUGAUCUGAUUGCUUGUAGUAGUAUUUUCCAUGACGGUACAAGUGAAUACAUUGGUGUUUUUGCUUCCUUCAUUGGUGUGGCUGUUGCUUUGCAAGCUAAACUGAUGGGUGCUAUUAUUUGUAUUGAGAUUGAGUUUGUUAGAGGGUGGACUUUUUUGUGAUUGGAAUGUGAUUUCACUCUUGUGAUUGUUGCUUUCAAGAACACCUCUGUUGUGUCGUGGUCCAUUAGGGUAGAUGGAAUUGUUGUGUUGCUAUGUGCAGAAUUAUCAACUUUUAUGGUGUCAAACAUCUUUAGAGAAGGAAAUAAAUGUGUUGAAUUGAAAAUACUGAAAUUUAUGAGGGACUUGAAUUGAAACUUAAUCAAGCCAAACAAUUAUAACUUUCCUCAAAUGCUUGAUGCUCUCAACUACAGAUUUAGUACUUGAAAGACUGAAAAUUGAAUAUUUUUUUUUUUCUCUAAACUAACUUAGAUUACUGGUUUUGGCUUCAAAGAAAGCUUGUGAUGUUGUAAUUAUGAUGCCUAAUGCAGGAUGUUAUAAAAGAAAUAGCAAUAUCUUGAUGAUCUUUAUUUGAUGGCUAAAGUUUGAAUAGCUUGGAAGUCUGAACAGAGUGUUGCCCAUUUGUUAUGGUAACAUAGAACGCUAUGGAAGCACUUCAUGAUAAGAAAUUAAUUGAAUAUGAAGAAAUCAUUCUCGUUAAUUUUUGUUUAUGUGAAAUCAAGAAGAUUUACAUGCAAGAAUAAAGGUGUAAAAGGGAAAUAGCAGUGCUGCUGUAUCAACUCCCUGAGGUUACAUGGCUAUGAAAAAGCACAUGCACAGCUAGCUGUAAAAUGUGAAUAAAUACUCAUAUUACCUGCCUUCAAGCGGAUGGUUGGUCAAGAUCAACCAUACCGAGCUUGGUAUGGAGUUUGCUGAAAGCAGUAAGUAAGACGGCCGUAGUGAAAGGAGCAAGUACAAGAACCUUAGUGAAAAGAUCAGCUGCUUGAUCUUUUACAGAAGUAUGCAGCUACUGCAUAAGGCCAGAUGACAAUUCUCCCACACAAUGACAGCUAGUUGUGAAUGGCACACGUAUUUUGAUUCAGUAUUUCUAGUGUAGUUGUUUAAUGUUGUGUAAAUUAUAGUAGUAGUGAAUUUGCUCAAUAUUCAAAGAAAAUUUGCAGCUUCGUUGAUAGAAUUGUAUCGUAGCUUGGUUGGUCAUGUAAUUAUGUUCUGUUAAGCUACCAUUUAUUUUUAAAAUGUCAUCGCUUCUCAGAAAAGUGACAAUUGCUUAACCAAAAUUAACUAAUCUAAACGUGAACUUGAGACAUUCAGCCGAAUUUACAAUUCCCCAUAUGGUAAUAAGAAUAAACUAAAUGAUGUAGCUGGCUGAAGGAGAAAUACUUUAAAUUUCAAUUUGAUAACUUGUAGUGAUAAUGUACACUUGCUAGUUUACCAUGUUGAAUAUGCAACACAGCAUCGGACUGCUUAGUAUUGUUUUGGUAAUAAAAGAAACUAUUGUAACCUUAUUCUUAUCGUUGUCCUUUUUCUUCCAUUUCGGGGAAAAAUAUCACUAACUUAUGCUGUAUUCUUUAUUUUUUGCAUUUUGAAUAUGUUAUAUAUCCUACUUGUGCUUGUUCCUUUACCCUCUUCCCAAUUAAAAUAUGUUGUUGCAUUGAUUAAGAAAACAGUCUCCUUAGAUUUUGAAUAUGUUAUCCUACUUGUGCUUGUUCCUUCAUAUAAUUGAUGGCAUUCUUUCUCUUGAUAUAUGGUAUCUUAUUAUAAUUAAGUUUUUCUAAAAUGGAAGGACAAUUUAAUGAAACUAGAUAGAUUACACUAUUCUAAUAUAUCAAUUAUCAUAUCAUAGCAAGAGAAGCUCAUAAUCCCUCGUAGCUUUGGGGCAGUAAUCCAGGAAGUUGAGCUGAAAGCUAUUACCUAGGAAACAAAAUUUGUAUUAUUUUAUUUUGGUGAUGCUUAUUAAUGAUACUACUUAUUCUCAAUUUUGUACAAUGAAAGUAUGACUGCAUUCUGAAUUCAAAGAUAUUAAGCAUUCUACCAAAAUGCUGGUAGGAAUGUGGUAAUACAGUAGUGAUGAUGGUGUUAACAAAGUAUGUUGAGUGAUGGUGGUAGGGUAGUGGUGAUAAUGAUGGGAAUGGUACAGAUGUUGGUGAUGAUCAAUUACAGAACAGCACUACUUCCCCUUCCCCCCAAAUGCAUGUUGGCCAUGCUCAACUUCAAAGAGAGUGAGGGCAUGAACAGUACAACUUACGAGUUUAAUUUUGUCUAUUGUCCGUUUCAUUUUUUCUUGGUAAUUAAAAUAUAGAAAUAACUUCCUUUAUAGAUUUGUUAUGUUCUUCAUUUUGAGAAAAAACGGUGAUGACAUAAAUUCACCUGUAUUGUUACUUUAUAUUUAGUCUCGAUCUUCAGUUUUGUGUUUCUUCUUGUAUUUCUUGUUUAAUUAUCACUUUGACUUAGGCAAAUGAUAGUUUGCUCAACUAUGAGAUUGGAUUGAAUACAUGCAACAUUUGGGUUCUUUGAUAUGAAUACUUUUGUUUAGACUGUGCAUCCUUAAUAAUGGUCAUAAUGUUUAGAAUCUAUUAAAUAUAUCAGAUAUCUUAUAUAAAUAUCUUAUCUUUAUCUUUUAUUUUUAAUUAGUUUGUUAUUUAUAUUUUGGGUUUAGUUUAUAUCUCUUUUAUUAUAAAUACAAUAUUUUAUAUGUAUGGAGAUUAAUUUUAUACUUAAUUUUUAAACAAAUAUAAACAUGUAAGAAAUGUUCCUUCAUGCAUUAAUGCUGUCCUUUGAAAGUAUUGACUAGCUUUCUCUGUAGUGAUGGUGAUAACAAAGAUUGGUGUAAUGGUACUGAUGCCCUUAUGCUAUAGUUGCAGUAAGAGCAUUCAUCUUUACUCCCUCAUGGUUGGAAAUUAACCAAGCUCAGUAAGAGUACCAAAGUAGGUGGAACAUUACCUCGUUAAGUUCUGUAUCAAACAGUAUGGCUUCACAUCUGACCAUCCCCCUUCCUGAUUUAUCUUUAUUGGACCCGCAUCACCAUGGCUCGGGAUAUUGGUUGAAACCAGUCAAUGAAAUAAACCUUCCUAUCUAAAUUGUAUUUUCAUUCUCAUAAACAGGAAAUCAUAAAUUGUAUCCUCACAUUCGGUCUCCUCAUUUUUAUCCCAAGUUAGAUCUUUUCUUUCCACCUAUACCAUUUCUCACAUCUAGUCUUGUUUAAGUAUACUACUUCAAAAUUAUAUUGGAUGUGUCAGACUAAGAACAUGUGUUGUGGGUCUUGCUGGUUUGAGAAGUAUUUUAGUGUAUAUGUUUUAAAUUUAGAGUGGCAAUGCUGUUCUUCAUGUCACCGUGCAUACUCAACAGUCACCAUUGGUUAUAUCAGGGUGAAAAUGAUAAUUUUGUUUAUAUACGUUAUAUAAAUCAAUCAAUUCACAGCUUUCAAAGAAUCUCUUAUUCUAUUUUCACUAAUUUCUAUCUACCAAACAACUAUACAUUUAAUUUUAUUUCUUGUCUAUUUCUCUUCAUUCAACUUAUUUCAAUUCUGUUUUUUUUUUCUCUGAAUGAAACAAAGCAUAGUUAGGUUAUUCUUAAUGGAUGACGUGGAGUUGCUAUCUGGGUAUACUAAGAUCAACUAACUAACUGGGUGCAGAAACCAGCACCUCAAAUGGCUUAUCUGGAACUGCUGGCAUACUAAAAUUGGAUGGUGGAUUAUAAUUAAUAAGCCCAUGUACAAUUGAUGAAUGGUAGUAUGUGACGAGGAAAGUGUGUUAUAAUUAGGUAAAGACAAUAAAGAAAAAUAUCUCUUUAUUUACUCUUCCUACUUCAUUCUUCUAAUCAAAAUCUCAACGGUUUAUUGAAUGAAACUGUUCUGGGAGCUUGUGUUCAGAAUUUAAGAAGGUUGUUGAAAUUGAAAAAUUGGUCUAAGUUUUGAAAUGUAAUGCUAUACGUAGGACUCUGGGGUACAAUGUCAGAAAUUAACCUGCUUGUUUAUUCAUUUACCACUCCACUCAAAGCAAUUAUACAUUCAGUUCCACACUUAGUUUAUUAUCAUAGCUAUACCUUUUUUCUUGUCUAGCUUGAUUGGUGCAAUUGUUAAGUAUCACAUUCUUAACGAUCUUAUAUAUAUUUCCUACAUUGAAUGACACGAUGCUUGUUGUUGUUGAAAAAAAUAAUAAUAUAAGGAGUAUAUCUCUUUUGCUUGUAAGUUGUGAUAUUCACCGUCUCUGUCUCUCUCUGCACUCAUUGGGAAAAUUUUAAUGAUAGAAAUCAAACAUUUUUAAGUUAAACAAACACAUGUAUAAUUCAGAUUACAAUAACUUCAUGUUUGGCAGCUCCAUUAAAUGUUAAAGCUGCAGAAGCACAGAACAGCUUAGUACGUGGAUUUGAUUCUAUAUGGUAAUAAUAGCUAGGAUUGAAUGCUAUCUUCACUAUUGAAUAUACAAAAGCUUUGGCGGGAGAGAGUCAUUCUGUGAUGACCCUUUACAAAAGAACAUGACAAACUUCAAGUUGCAGAAAGUGUAGUGCGAAUUUGUGUGCAUGAUUAUACAAAAUUUAGAAGGAGAAAUGAGGAAAAAAAAGAUGAAGAAAAGGCGUCCCUAUCAGCACCUCCCAAUAUUUUCGCUGUUGAGAAAAUCUUGACUACGAUGGUUGAGAAACUUUUGUAGAUAUGGUCCAGUAUGUAGGUCUGUUUCAUUUGACAAUUUUGUCCCGGAAAGUCAGCAAAUACUACGCAACCUCACAUUACUGUGCAUGAUGUCAGUGACGUGAGGAAUUUUACAAGUGAUGCACAAAAAUCCCUAUAUCAAAAGAUUCUACUACCGUAGCGGCAAGAAACUUUGGUCGGCAGUUCUCACUCUGUUACUUUUCAACUUGCCUCUUUUCUUUGCACAAUUUGAGAGAUACCACACACGCUUCUUGAAUCCAAUGUCUUAACACCAUAUCCAAAGUAUCCCUACUUUACACUGUUUCUUAUGAAAUGUGUCUGUCAUGCAUAAUCCUUGUUCCUUGUAACAAACACAAGUGUUACCAUAAAACCUGUUUUUUGGAACAUGUGUAUUAUAAUAUGAUCCUACUUUAACUUAAUGCAAUAACUAUGCGCAUUAAAGUUUUCUCUUCAAUAUUUCUAUUCUAACUUACUUUUGAAUUAAUGAUCCAAAGAUAUAAAACCAUGCAGAGUUUUAUACUUGUAAAACUUCUUAUUUUAUACUAUAUUUCAUUCUAUAAUAACAUGAGCAUUUUCUAAUCAAUACACGGAAGGUUUAACAUACACAUAUAUAAUUGUUCAUUUUAGAUUAAGUUAUCACAAAUUUUUUAUCAAUAGAAGUAUCUUAUGUGUAUAUAAAUCUAUAUUCAUCUUUUAUUUUAUCUGAUAUAAAACUUUAUUUGUACCUAACAACAACGUGAUAUGGUUCAAAUGUGACGAGAGUUUAAUUCGUAAAUAAAAAGUAUAUAUAUUUGUUAAAAGUGUCAAUCUUUGAUAAAAAUUGGAUGACAGCAUCCCAAGGAUACUAUACUCUAGUACGAUCGAUGACAAAGCUGCGGUAUUAUAUGCUCACCUCAUUUAUCAAAUAACUAUAAGAGGGUUAUUUAUUAAAUGUUCAUAAAAAGAUAAGAAUUAAUAUGAAACAAACCAUUUAAAAAAAAAAGAAAAUGAAGGUGGUCCAGCACCACUUGCAAGGAGAAUGGGAUUCAAUGUGAAAGAAGUUGAUGGGAUUUCCAGGUUUUUGGCCAAUAAUAUUCCCAUAUGUUAUAGUAAAUAUUUAGUUAGGAAGUUUAUAUAUGUAUAUAAGAAGGAAAAGGAUUGUGAUAUAGUAGAGAUGGUUAUUUAAAAAUGGGUAACAGAGCGUGGGCAUUAUUGGGAAGAAUCUUAUUCUGAAUGCAGGGGUUGCGUUAUCUGAGCUUGCGGGAGAAUGAUAUAAGAAUAUUUUGUGCCUUAAUCCUUUGAGCUACUUGACCAACACCAAGUUUUCCCUUUUGUGCCUUGUUCGCUUCACUAAGUCACAAAAGCCAAGUUUUAUAAUUCAAAUAUUCUCAUCAUCAUCAUCAUGUCGAAUACUUAUUAACAGACAUAGACAGAUCUUAAUUAAUUUUUCUGGGACUAAAGGGGCCAUCAAUCAUUAUAACUAACAUGGAUUUUUUUAAGUAAACCAUUUUAAAACAAUAAUUAAAAUCUAGUUUUAUUCCUUGGAAGAUGUUCAAAUAUCGAUUUUCCUUAUCACUUUCACCAAGAAGAAUAAUGUUGUCCUCCUUAACGUGAAAGGAAGAAUUUCAUAAAUGGAGCAUUGAGUUCUAUGGAAAGAAGGAUGCGAAUCAAAUCCAUGUGCAGAUGCUUCAAAAACUUAGGCACUACCAUCCUUGUUGUGAGGCUUGUAUGCUUGCUUGCUUACCCAUACAUAGGGUAUCGCUUAUUGUUUUUUCAUAAAGGUUGUGAUUAGAUAAUAGAGAACAUCUUUCCUACUUUGUUUGGAUGCCCCUUUGGAUUAUUGUUACGAUCCUCAAAAAAAUCAUUUCCCUUUUGAUUGAUAAUCCUAAGCAACAGUCAACGUUAUUCGGGCUGAUAACUAUUCUGAAUUUGACAAAAAUGAAAUAAAUAAUAAACAGUUGCUUCUUAUUAAGUAAAUUUAUGAGCCCAUAUACAUACAUCAGAAAGAUGGUGCCUAUGGGGCGUCACAAUUGAAAUCUUACAAAAGAUUUUUGGAGCAACUUAAAACCUAACUAAGUAUGCAUAUGCAGUUUCAGUUUGACUAGGGGGUCCCAGGAGAGGGAGGACCAGUCUCAGUGCCACCACACUCCACUGUGAAAUCAAUGACAUCCAUAGCUUCUUCAAUAUUGCUCCUGUUUGACACUCUUGCUUUCUUUGUUGCCCUCUUUGAAGUUUUCCUCUCGAAUAUGCGGCACACAGCCAAGGCUGACAUCUACGUUACACAUCAAACAUAAAAGUUAAAUGAGAAAGAAAUCCGAAAGGUGGUGGUGGUGGAUGGAUACUGUUGUAUAUAUUGUUUACCUUUGAUGGAUUUGACUUUAGGGCAAGACGAAACUCAUGCAUCACCCAUUUUGUUUUGGCAAGAGAGCUACCCUUGGCUUUCCAGAAAACCAGAACACUCUUCUUUCCAAUCACUUUUUCGUCAGAUAACUCAACCUCUUCAUCUUUCUCCACCAUUUCCCAUUGCCCUUUCCCAGCAUCGCUCUUGUCAGGGUUUCCUGACACACGGCUCCUCACAUCGUAGAAGAAAAACUUCUGCCAAUUCAUGUACUUCCCACCUACAAAUAAACAAACACACAUUUCUUUAGAUCACUCCGGGGCUUCCAAAAAUCGGAUCUUUUUCGGACACAUUGUCCACUGACAAGAAUCACCAAAGAAAAUCUUGAAAGAGAAAGAGAAAAGAUCUGAGAUUAAAAAAGCAAAGAAAGAAGGGUGAACCUCCUGGGAGGUCCCAAGGCUGAGUCUGGAAAACAUGAUAGUCUUGGAUGAGGUCAUUGGGGAGUGUUUGUGCCAUGAUCCUCUUCCUGAGGUAGUAGCCUGCAAGAAUUUCAUCGGUGGGGUCGAACAAGUAGCCAACAGGGAGCUUAUAGGUCUUGCCUCCAAGUGGGACUAACACUUCCAUGGCCUUGGAUAGAUGAAGGAACUUGUGAUCAAAGAAAUCAAUUUAUAGAUGUGAAGACAUGCAGUGUGGUGGAUGUCUUUGACUAAGAGAGAGAAAAACCACAUACAUGCUUACAAAUCUUCCCUUCUAUUUGACUUUCGAACGAAUGGACCAUUUUCCUAUGUUCUUUUAUUUUAUUUAUUAAGUUUUUAAAAAAAAAGUACAGGAAAUUAAAUUAUUUUGGAUUUAGUAUUAAUUAUUUUUUAAAAAGAUGCACUCUGUACAAGUUACAACUAAUGUAGUACUGUACUGUAGGUGACGUGAGUGAAUGAGUAACUUUGUUUGAUUUCAGUCAAUUGACUAUGGCUCAAAAUGUGUGACACCUUUGAAAUGGCAGUUUUCGUUUAUACAAAUUUAAUAUUUUCACAUCUUUAACGUGUCUUUCGAUUAAAAACAUGUGUUUGAGUGAAAAAUAAGACUCUUAAAUUGAGUGUAAAAUCAAUCAAUGAAAACAUUUGUAUAGGUUUGCGUGGAAAAUAAGAUUCUUUGAAUUAAAAGAAAUUGAAUGAAAAUAUUUAUAGAUCAUUUAAUAGAUGUAAUAAAAUUUUUUAAUAAAUAAUAUUAUAAGAUUAUAAUUUUAUAGUUAGACAUGUAGUUAAAAUGUUAUUCCCAUUACAAUGGGUGAAUUCAAUUGAAAGAAAAUUACGAAUUAUAAUAUUGUUGAUACGAGAAAACAUUGUUAAAAAAAUUAUAAAAUUUGAAUAAAAAUAAUUAUAAAAUAUUUAAGCAAGUUUUUAAUUUUUUUUUGUAAAACUUAAAAAAUAUGCCAAAUUUAUGUAAAAGUUUAGCAUGUAAUUAAUAUUAAACCUUAAUUAGGUUUUAAGUAAGUCAUAAAUUUAGAUAUAUUUACUUAACUCUAAUAAAUGUUUAUUAUUUAUUGAGUACUAAGAAAAUUCAUACUUUUUAAUUGAAUUUAAUUUUUUUCUCUUAAUUAGAUGGUGUGGAUGUUAUUAUAUAUAUAAUCUUCCUUAAUAGUUGUCAAGUGUUAUUUUAUAAGUUAACAAAACAAAUACAACAUAAAAGAAAGUCUACAACAUGAAAGAGAAUACAUUUACUUCACCUCCAUUUGUAAUAUAACAAUGUGUGUUAAAUUUAAAACUUAAAAAAAUACAAUUAACGUGAUUAAAAUAUUAUUAUUUUGAAUUAUUAAAUAAGAGUAUUUUAUUGAGUAAGAUAUCACAUACUUGUUUGUUACUCUAAUAGGCAACUAUCAAGACUAGAGAUGAAACCUAAGUCAUGAUAACAAAAAUAUAUAUUAAUUUUAUCAAUAUUAAUAAAAGUAAUUGUGAAAUUAAAAAUAUAUUAAAAAACUAUAAAAGGAAAAAGUAUUCAAGAUUAAAAAUACCUCAAAUGCCUCGACUUUUUUUAACUUUUAAUGAAAUCUCAUUUUUUUUAUGUACUAAUAAAUAUUAUGAUGGAAUAAUUUGCACAAAAAUAAUAAUAAUUUAGAUUUGGAUAUAAUUUUUGAUAUUUUGAACUUUAAUUUAUGUUGAAUGGCAUAAAAAAGAAUUCAUUAAAGUGAUAUUAAAUUAUUAUUUUAUAAUAAAUAAAAUGUAUUUAUACUAACGUAAUUGAUAACAUUGUCAUUGACGAGAUCAAAUUAAUACUACUAAAUUAUAACAACUUCAGUAUUGUGUAGUUAACAAAAUAGAGAGGUAAGUUCAAUCAUAAGUCGUUUUCCAACAAACACAAAAUUGAUUAUUAAUAAAUUAAUUUAUAUAAAAACUAUAAAAAGGGUUAGUAAAACAAAAACAAUAAAGAAGAUAAAUAUCAAUAACAGAUUAAAGAACAAAAUAAUAAAAGAUAGAAAGAAAUAAAGUUAUUAAAAGAUUUAAAAAGAUAAAAAUAAUGAUAAAAAAAAGGUUGAUUUCACUAUUUUUUCAAAAUCGGAUUCAUCGUUGGUUAUCUGAAGAUUAUUGUUCAAAUAAUUAUUGUCUUUUUUCAAUUAAGUUUUUUGGCAUUCUCACUCUUAACCAAAGUACAUUAAGAACUUUAUAGAUUAAUCAUAGUAAACUUAACCCAAGUACAUUCUCAAUAUUAAAUAUUACUACGCCUAAUCAUGUUUAUUCUUUUAUCUCUUAUAUCAAGUAAAAUGUUAAUUAACGAAAGUACAUUCUUGAUUAAUUCUUGUUAAAGUUUUUAUCACUAAUUAACGUACAUUCUCAAUUAUUAACAAAAACCAAUUUAAUCACAUAAAAGUUUCUAACAUUAAUCCAAGUAAAUUCUCAAUUAAAUAGGUUUAAUGAUUCUGAUAGUUCCUAUUUUCGGUGAUUUUUUUCAAUUAGGUCCCUCAUUUUUUCUUUUUCUCAAUUGGGUCCCUAUUUUUGAAAAAUUGAAGCAAUUAGGUCACUGUCGUUAGUUCGGUACUAACACCAUUAAAAAGGGUGGCACGUGUCAGCUCGUGAUUUUUUUGAAUUUUUUAAAUAUAUUUUUAAUUUUUUUUAUUUUUAUUUUUAAUUUUUAAUUUUUUUUUUAAAAUUGCCACGUGUCAAGUUGACAUUGAGCCACAUGGCAAUGACAAUGUGAGGUGGCACUAAUAGUGCCACGUGUCACUAUCAAAUCAUGUGUCAUUAGAUUUGUCUCAAUUUGGUCCCUAUAUAUUUAAUUUGUCUCAAUUUGGUCCCUGUAUUCUUAUUUUGUCUUAAUUUAGUCCUAUUUUUUNNNNNNNNNNNNNNNNNNNNNNNNNNNNNNNNNNNNNNNNNNNNNNNNNNNNNNNNNNNNNNNNNNNNNNNNNNNNNNNNNNNNNNNNNNNNNNNNNNNNNNNNNNNNNNNNNNNNNNNNNNNNNNNNNNNNNNNNNNNNNNNNNNNNNNNNNNNNNNNNNNNNNNNNNNNNNNNNNNNNNNNNNNNNNNNNNNNNNNNNNNNNNNNNNNNNNNNNNNNNNNNNNNNNNNNNNNNNNNNNNNNNNNNNNNNNNNNNNNNNNNNNNNNNNNNNNNNNNNNNNNNNNNNNNNNNNNNNNNNNNNNNNNNNNNNNNNNNNNNNNNNNNNNNNNNNNNNNNNNNNNNNNNNNNNNNNNNNNNNNNNNNNNNNNNNNNNNNNNNNNNNNNNNNNNNNNNNNNNNNNNNNNNNNNNNNNNNNNNNNNNNNNNNNNNNNNNNNNNNNNNNNNNNNNNNNNNNNNNNNNNNNNNNNNNNNNNNNNNNNNNNNNNNNNNNNNNNNNNNNNNNNNNNNNNNNNNNNNNNNNNNNNNNNNNNNNNNNNNNNNNNNNNNNNNNNNNNNNNNNNNNNNNNNNNNNNNNNNNNNNNNNNNNNNNNNNNNNNNNNNNNNNNNNNNNNNNNNNNNNNNNNNNNNNNNNNNNNNNNNNNNNNNNNNNNNNNNNNNNNNNNNNNNNNNNNNNNNNNNNNNNNNNNNNNNNNNNNNNNNNNNNNNNNNNNNNNNNNNNNNNNNNNNNNNNNNNNNNNNNNNNNNNNNNNNNNNNNNNNNNNNNNNNNNNNNNNNNNNNNNNNNNNNNNNNNNNNNNNNNNNNNNNNNNNNNNNNNNNNNNNNNNNNNNNNNNNNNNNNNNNNNNNNNNNNNNNNNNNNNNNNNNNNNNNNNNNNNNNNNNNNNNNNNNNNNNNNNNNNNNNNNNNNNNNNNNNNNNNNNNNNNNNNNNNNNNNNNNNNNNNNNNNNNNNNNNNNNNNNNNNNNNNNNNNNNNNNNNNNNNNNNNNNNNNNNNNNNNNNNNNNNNNNNNNNNNNNNNNNNNNNNNNNNNNNNNNNNNNNNNNNNNNNNNNNNNNNNNNNNNNNNNNNNNNNNNNNNNNNNNNNNNNNNNNNNNNNNNNNNNNNNNNNNNNNNNNNNNNNNNNNNNNNNNNNNNNNNNNNNNNNNNNNNNNNNNNNNNNNNNNNNNNNNNNNNNNNNNNNNNNNNNNNNNNNNNNNNNNNNNNNNNNNNNNNNNNNNNNNNNNNNNNNNNNNNNNNNNNNNNNNNNNNNNNNNNNNNNNNNNNNNNNNNNNNNNNNNNNNNNNNNNNNNNNNNNNNNNNNNNNNNNNNNNNNNNNNNNNNNNNNNNNNNNNNNNNNNNNNNNNNNNNNNNNNNNNNNNNNNNNNNNNNNNNNNNNNNNNNNUAGAAUUUAUUUAGUUCUUUCGUCAUUAUAAAGUUAGUAUAUAAUAAUAAUAAUAAUAAUAAUAUAUCAUUAUUUACUAUUAAUAUUAUUAUGUUUAUUAUCAUUAUUUACUAUUAAUAUUAUUAUGUUUAUUAUUUUGUAUUUGCAUCUAACUUUUAAUUUUAUAAAAUGGAAAUGGUAGAAGUACUAAUAUUGAAGUUUCCUCUGAAUUUUAUAUUCAAAUCUGAACCACGUGAAAUGCUCCAUUAAUGUAGAGAGAGAAAGAGAAUGAUUGUUAAGGAUAAUGGGGUAGGUGUAGGGUAUUUUUGGAAUAAAGAAAAUAGUGAGAAAGUGUAAAAUAUUUUUGAAAUAAAUUAAAUUAAUGAGGAGGUACAGGUCUGGCUUGGGGAGGUGUAAGGAGCAACACCCCACCUUAAAAUAUCCAAAGAGCAUUUAUAAAACUAAAAAACAAUUUUUAUCAUGUUUUUGUAUCUAGUGCUCAAUAAACCCAAAUAUAACCAAUCCUAAUUAAAAUAUUCUAUUAACAUACAAAAACAAAUUCAGAAUCCAAUAUUAAAGACUAAAUAAGAACAUAAAUAUAUACUCAUCAAUAAUGUUAAAAUUACACUUAUGAGCAUGACUGAAAAAUAAAAAUUAUUAUAUAAAAAAUCAUCAAGACAAUAUUCUAUACAAUAAAAAAACAACAAAUAGUAUUAAAAAGAAAUAGUAUUAAAAAGAAGAAAAAAAUAUUAAAUAUGUGCUCUAGAAACAAUUUGGUAUACUUUUAAUGAAAUCUCACAAAGAAAACAAUGUAUAGUUAAGAUUAUUUUAAGAUGAAAAAUACCCUGGACAUUUAAGAAAUCUUUCAAAUAUUGAACUAGUUGAAUUAUUAAAAAAUAAUGAAAAUUGUUUUGGUAAAAUAAAAGUUAUUCGAAUGAGACAGAAAUUAAGAUUAAAGAUAAAAAAGAUAAGUUUUUAUAUAUUUUAAACAAAUUAUUGAAUAUUUAAAAUUGAGGUCAAACAUUCUUAUUAAAAGAAUAUAUAUGAAAGAUUGUCAUGAUCUAAUUUAAUAUAUUUGUUUUCAUAAUUAUAAUUCUUUAUUUUCUUAUAAUAAAUAGUUAAAAAUAAUUAAUUUAAAUUUUUUAUAUAAUAAAUUUUUAUUUAAUUUAGAAUUAAAAAAUGCAAAAGAUUUUGUUAAUUUUUUUUUUUAAUUAUGUGGACAGCCGCGGUAAGCUUGUAAACUGAGUGUGAAUAUGAAUCAAACCUAUCAUUUUUACCUAUCAUGUACAAAACAACCAAAAUAAGAUUGCUAAAAUCAUUCCAAUGAAACCUCAUUAUUAUUCCUAAACUUUAGUUCUUCAAAAAAACAUAGUGAAUUUAGUUUCAAAAAAUACAAAAUGUUAUUUAAUUUACAUUAUCUUGUGAAUUUUAUUUUGUCAUCAAAUAUAAUUUUAAUUGCUAAUUUAGUAUUAUUAAAAACUAAAUCUAGAUUAUUUAUAUGUUUAAAGAUUAAAUUAUAAUUUUCAAUAUUUUUUGAAGAUCUAAAUUAAUCAUUGUAAUACUUUGAUUUAGGAUGUCACGUGUGAGGAAGAGAACAUUCUUUAUUUAGGAAAAUAAAACUUUGAUACUAUCACAGUAUAGAAAAAAUUUAAACUUUAUAUUAAGUUAUCUUGAAAAUAAAUAAAAACAUGCGAGAAUAAUAAUUAAUCCAAUUACAACUUGAAAUAACAUACUAACCUCUUUAUAAUUUGUUUAAAUAAAAACAAACAACCUUUUGAAAACUCCAAAAAUAAUUCUCCACUCGUCUAUCGUUCUUCGCCGCUUCAACAUCAUCAGCAACAACAUCUGUAACAUCAUCUGCUCCCGUAUAAUACGAUCAUUGCAGGUGGAAACCAUCACCACAAAUGCAAGGGUGAGCUAACAGAAUCAACAUCUAACUCAUAGAUAAUGAUAUAAUAUAAUAAUACAAUUAUCAAUUAAUGUUACUAAUGAGGAGCAUUGGUAAAUCUUGAAGUAAAUAGUUUUGAUGAUGCUACAAGACGUUUUACCUGAAGGAAGUAUUAGAAAUGUUUAAAAGCACUUUGUAGAAUAUAAGUGUAAUAGGAAAGUCUUCAAAUUUUGUAAAACUUGUAUUUUUACUGAAAUAAUCGAUUAUGAGAAGCAAUAAUCAGUUAUCAUGAGUCUUUCAGGAAUAAUCGAUUAUCAUUCCAAAUAAUCAAUUAUCACAUUUUGAAAAACCUGUAACGGACUUGAAUAAUCGAUUAUCACUUACAAUAAUCGAUUAUUAGUGACAGUUGGGACUUGACCUCUGAUAUUUAGAGUAGCUGGCUAUAUAUUGGACUUCUGAGAAUUUCAGAAGAAACGUUGUUGAAUAGAAGCUCUUGCAGAAUACUGUUUGUCAGAGGAAGUUCUCAAAAGCUAUAGUUCAAGUUCCCUUGCUUGGUCUCGUGAAUAGGAGAAGCUCGCGUUUCGUGUGUCGAUAGUCGGAGCGGUUCUCUUCGAGUUAGCAAGGUGCUCUGCCUGGUCUCGUGAAUAGGAGAAGCUCGUGUAUCAUGUGUCGAUAGUCGGAGUGGUUCUCUUUGAGUUGGCAGAGUGUUCUUCUUCUGGUUCGUUCAUCGAAGGAAAGUUCUUUUAUCAUAUUUUAUUUAUUACUAUUGUAAUAUGUGAAACUCAUUUUUAUAGUGAUUACCGACUGAACGUAGAUUCUUUUGAAUCGAACCAGUACAAAAAUUACUUGUGUGAUUUUUCUACUCCCUAUACUGAUAACUCUCAAAUUUUCCCUAUUUUUCUAGUCUUAGAAGUUUAUUUUAGUACAUUUUAGUUUCUUAUUUUAUAGAAUUAGGUUAGUUUAGUAUUUUUUUUUUCUUUAAAUUUAGAGUUUUGUUAAAAUAGUGUUAAUUUUGCCUUUUCAGUUAAAUAAAAUAGGUUUUUAAAUAAAUAGAUAUUUUUCCUUUUUAGAAACAAAUAUUUUGAGAAUGAAAAUAAAAAUUUCUUUUGUUGUUAUAGACUUUUAGUUUUUUUUGUUGUUUAUUUUUUUUCNUUAUUUCUUUUUGCAGUAUUAAACCUGAUCCAAGGGGGCCACAAAUCUGGCCAAGGCUGGUGCUGAAAUGGGCCGAAGUAAUAUGGCCAGUGUUUAUGGACUAAAGCCAUUUUGGGCAGCAGAUUAAUGAAACGCUCAUUCAAGCAGCUGUGUGUUUACUAAAGGAGUAUACCCGUGAAGAGGGUUUCAUUUCUCCAAAUUAGAAGCAAUUGGAGCUAGGACUCACAAAGAAGAUUUUCCCCAAAUUCUCUAAACCCUCAAUCUAGGGUUCGUGGUCCAGCAAGAGGGGAUCAGUCCGAUGAAGCAAAUCCAAAGAACGACAACCCAAAAACGGGAACAGCCUAAGAUGUUGAUCGGUCAGAAUGAAGGUUGGAAGCACGUGCUAAGCUUGAACGGUUUGAGAACCUGGUCAGAGUCAGUUGAAGGAUAUUCAAGAAGCUUCCAAGUUUGUUCAGAUUCUUUCCCCUUUCCCCCUCUUUUCAUCUUUUCUGUUUAUGUUUUCUCCUAUAUAAAGGAGUUUUGUAAAAUAGAAUAAGUAUGUGCACUGGGUGACAGGCAGUGUACUUAGAUUAGGUUCUCCUUCUCUCGCCUUAGAGUAGAUAGUGGUGAGUGACAGACAUCACUUGUAGGGUGUAUACUACGAUUCAGUUUUCGAUUUCUCGCUUUAGUGUUAGAUUUACCGCUUUCGUAGAAGUAGAUACUUUGAUUCUUGCACUGGAAUUCUUGGGGAUGAUCAAUGGGUGACAGACUUUGAGCUCUCUGGGAUUUCUGGUAUCUGUACUUUUGAUUUCCUUUUCUUAAUAAAAGUUGUUCUUUCCAAUUUCAGUUUNNNNNNNNNNNNNNNNNNNNNNNNNNNNNNNNNNNNNNNNNNNNNNNNNNNNNNNNNNNNNNNNNNNNNNNNNNNNNNNNNNNNNNNNNNNNNNNNNNNNNNNNNNNNNNNNNNNNNNNNNNNNNNNNNNNNNNNNNNNNNNNNNNNNNNNNNNNNNNNNNNNNNNNNNNNNNNNNNNNNNNNNNNNNNNNNNNNNNNNNNNNNNNNNNNNNNNNNNNNNNNNNNNNNNNNNNNNNNNNNNNNNNNNNNNNNNNNNNNNNNNNNNNNNNNNNNNNNNNNNNNNNNNNNNNNNNNNNNNNNNNNNNNNNNNNNNNNNNNNNNNNNNNNNNNNNNNNNNNNNNNNNNNNNNNNNNNNNNNNNNNNNNNNNNNNNNNNNNNNNNNNNNNNNNNNNNNNNNNNNNNNNNNNNNNNNNNNNNNNNNNNNNNNNNNNNNNNNNNNNUGUUCACUGUUAUUAGCAUAUCAUUUAGGAUAGGAAUUACGCAUUGCAUAUUUCAAUUUUGUUUCAUUCAUUUAAUCUUUAGUUUAAAUAGAUACAAUCAUGCAUUGCAUUAUCUUUUCAUAUUAGAUUUCAUUUUUACAUUUUAUUUUCCCCACCUAGUUUUUAGUAAAUAAAUACAUAAUUAGGCAUAAUUCUACAAUUCUAUCUUAAUAAGUACCAAGUCCACGGAUUAGACCCUAGGUUGCCCCUAUACUACAUUAGUGGGGAAUUUAGGUUUGUUGAGAUUUUAGGCGACAAAAAAUCCUUUCAACAUAUACUCUUUAAUUUUAUUUGCAUAUCAACUGUUCGAUAAAUUUUCACUUAGAAAAUUUAUUUUACAAACUGACCAUUUUAAUCUUAAAAAGUUGAGUGAACACGCUUUUCUCUACUUUAAGUUUUAUUCCCCUGCGUUAUACUCUAUCUCCGAACGAUAGCGAUUGUUAACCAACAAUAAGCUCAUAACAAUCCUACUAAAUCAAACUCACAACAUUGUUAAUCCAACUCCAACCUAGAGAAACCAUGCCACACUCUCGAUUACUAUCGCUACAUGUUUUCUUCCGUACUCCAGCACACAUGACCUGUUCACCUAAACCGGGCCUACGCACCAACGCAGGACUUUCUCGCAUCAUUUGCUAUUGAGUACGUAAAAAACCACAGGGUUCACAGUCACCCACUAGCAUGACUUAUCAAACAACCCUUAUGGAAAACAACAACUCAACCAACUCAUGUUCCACUCGACACACGUUCCAAUUAACGUUGCAACUACAAUGCAAGAACAACAUUCAAGAACUUUUAGUUUUUUUAAUAUGACAAAAAAUAAGAUAAAAGAGAAUAUUCAAACGAGAAGCUUACUCUAGAUACCAAAUGAUAAGAUCAUGUCUAGGAAAUAGUAUGAUCGUUUCCGAAUUUGAAUCCUUAAGAGAAACAAAAAAAUAAUAAUCAGAGAAGAAUGUGGAAUAAGAUAGGGAUGAGGACACCAUAAUCUAGCAUAUUGAUAAUUUAAGUAAAGAUUCACCAUAAAGAUAUUAAUAUUUGAUAAUAAUCACAAUUCUAAUCCAAGAACCAAGAUAAUCCUCUCUCAAAGAAUGGAAAUGUGUAUAUAUAUAUAUAUAUAUAUAUGAUAUGAUAUGACUUAAAAGUGUCUACAUAUGUAUUUGGUACCCUUAUAUAUAAGCACAAAUGUUUAAGCCACCUAAUAAACUCUUAAGAACCAAGAUAAUUCUCUCUCAAAGAAUGAAAAUGUAUAUAUAUAAUAUGACUUAAAAGUGUCUACAUAUGUAUUUGGUACCCUUACAUAUAAUCACAAAUGUUUAAGCCAUCUAAUAAACCCUAAAAGAGUCCAAAGACAUUAGACCCAAAAAUAACUUGAAAAUUUAAAAACAGAAACUAAUUGUCUGUAAUUAAAAGAAAACAAAUAUCGUUUUAGUUGUCUAAAUUAUUGUAUAAUUAUGCUCUAAGCCAUGAUUUUCAUGUCCCUUGAAUUCCAAUCUUCAUGGAGCAUCAUGAGUCUCAAGGAUAUUUGUUCUUCGAGCUAUUUGUUUCUUGGCCUUGUCAUAGGUCCUUUGAAUUGGAAUGACUUUUCCUCAAGUUCUUCUUUUAUAGGAUCAAGGGAUAGUCCUCUGUCAUAAUCUAUUUUAUAACCAUUGUUAGUCACAUUCAAUAUUUUAAUAAUUCUAAUUCAGGCCCUUAUCAAAUCAGAAUAUUAUCUUAGGGUAUCUACAUAAUAACUUUUUAUGACAAUUAUGUCCUUAAUGGAAGACACAACGUACAAGAAUUUGUUAUCACGUGUGUUUUAUGGGAUGUGUACCUUUCACACAAGUAUUUUUUGUAGAUAAUUUUUCCACACUAUAUUUCGUAAGUAAUGUUUGUAGAUAAUUUUUUACGCUUUAAUUUUGUAGUUAAUUACUAAUGAAUAAUUUUGUAAGUUACGUAUAAUGGUUACCUUUUUUAUGCAACUUAUAGUUUAUGUUAAUCCUCUCAUUAAUUUUUUUUUCCUCUUAUCGACUAAAGUUUAGUAUAUAUACCCAAUUAAGAAAAAUAAAAAUAAAAAUAAUAUUCAUUCUCCUUUUCUUAGUAUUAGAAAAAUAUAAGAUAUAUAAUAUAUGAUAUAAAAUAUAGGAUCUGAAAAGGAUUUAGAAUAUAUAAUGUUAUCGUAAAUUAUUUCAUAUAACAUUAUAAUAAUAUAUAUGUAGUUAUGUUAUUAAUAUUAUUAUAUCUAUGUUUUAUGAUAAAAUAAUAAUGAUUAAAUUAAUUAUGUUAGAGAAACAUUAAAAAUAAAAAUAAAAUAUAUGUAUAAGCUUUUCGUUAUGUUUUUUAUUUUUAUUGUAUUAAUUUUAUCAAUACUCAAGUAUAAUUUAUAUUAGUUUAAAGCUGAAUUUUUCAACUAAAUAAUAUUUUAUGAAACGAAUUUUUAAAAGUACAGACUAAUUUUAUUCUUUAUUAUAUUAUUCAAAACCUGUGAUGGACUGAGAUUGAAGGAUGUAUGGGGUUGUAAAUUUUAGUUAACUUCAUAGUAUUACAAAGGUUUAAUACUUUUUUUUCUCUCGAAAGAGGGGGAAUGUUCAAAUUCAUUAUACCUUUUUUAAAAAGUUAAAAUGGGUCCCAACUUGUGAAAAAACUAUUCAAGUUAAUCUUUUUUUGUUACGAUGUUAAUUUUUUAACAGUGUAGCUGACACCCUGGACAAAACAUAAUGACAUGUUAGAAUAUUUGAGUGUGUGAGGGUGAAAUGACAUGUAAAAAAAUAAAUUGGGAAAAAAAAUAAAUGGCAUGACACUGUACUCUGGGAGGUUAAAAAAACAGGGGUUAGGGUUCGAGAGAAAUCACGAAUUAGGAGUAAACAUUAUGGUGAAAGUGGUGUUCAAAUUGGGGUGUCGUCGAAGCUGAAAUUUGAAGAGCGAAUUCAAAAGUGUAAAUCAGGUUAGUGUUUAUGUUUUAUAAUUUUCCGAAUUUGUGUUAUUGUUUGGUUAUGAUAUUUGUCGCGUUGCCGCGUUUUGGGCGGGGGGGUUAACUACGGGUUAAAUUGUUGUGUGAAAAGUUGUCUUGUUUUGAGGGUUGAUAGUGGUCUCAUAUGUCUUAGUUUAACUUAAUUUAGUGGUCCCCGUUUGCAUUUGCAGGGUUCGAGUUGGGAUGUCUAAUGACAGGUUUCAGGUAGUGGUCCACCACGGUGAGACCUUGAUCAAAGAAGUGCCCUUUAAAUAUAUAGGUGGGGAGAUAGUUUAUUAGGACGUAGCUGACCGCAAUAAAUGGUGUUAUUUUGGAGUAUUAGGUUCACUUAAACAUCUGGGUUACAUUGAAAUACAAGAAUUAUAUUACAAUAUCCAACAUAUUUUACAUAAGCUUUAUGAUGAUAAAGGAGCUAUGGACAUGAUGAAGGUGGCUAAUUAUUUGGGAAAGUAAACCUAUAUGUUGUACAUGGGGUGGACGAACCAGUUGUUGUAGAAAAUUAUGAGAAUGAGAUUAUUUACCUAUGUGAAGGUCCUACAGAGAGUGUUGAGGGUAGUAUCGUUAGAGGAGAAGCACAUGUUGAUGGUGGUGAUGAAGGAAUUGGGGACGUAGAAGUUGAAUUGGAAAAGGAGGUUGAGGAUGAGGGUGCAAUGAAGGUUGAGAAUGAGGAUGCAGUGGAGGUUGAGAAUGAGGUUGCAGUAGAGGUUGAGAAUGAGGAUGUAAUGGAGGUUGAGAAUGAGAGUACAGUGGAGGUUGAGGUUGAAAGUGAAUAAGCAGUGGAAGUGGACAGUGAGGAUGGAGUUGAGGUUGAUAGUCAAGAAGAAGUGGAAGUGGACAGUGAGGAUGAACCAGGAAUGGAUGAUCUGAGUGGUGAUGAAUACGUGGAUCAAGACAGUGAUAAUGAAACCCAACAACAGUAUAGGGGUUUGUCAGAGGAUGACAACAAGGAUAAAUUAUGUGUAGGUCCCUUUUCAAAAUAUGCAAAACAGAAGUCGAUGCCAGAUUAUAGGUGGGAAGUGGGCAUCAUUUUUAGCAAUAAGGAAGACUUUGAGGAUGCCAUUAGAAGGUAUGUUGUUCAUGUUGAUAGGACUCUAAAAUUUGUGAAAAAUGAUAAUCGUAGGAUGAGGGUUAGAUGCAUGGGUGGCUAAGGUAAAUGCCCAUGGGUAGCUUACUGUGGAUAUUUGCCAUCACGCAAAAUUUGGCAAUUGAGAAAGAUAAUUGACACUCACAGUUGUAGUAAGUAACUUAACAAUAAACUGAUGAAUGCUAAGUGGUUGAGUUAGGAAAUAGAUAGGUCUUUAGUUGACAAUCCUAAUCUGAUGUGGAGGGCUGCCAUAUGUACAUAUCCCCAGGCUUGGGAGAGAGAAAUGUUGAAAAUUAAAGAAGUCAAUAUUGAAGCAUAUAAAUACCUCAUAGGCAUUCCCAUGAGGUAACCCAUUGGCCAUUACAUGCACAUUUCAGUCACUCAUGCAUUGUAACCCAUUUUGGAAAUUUUUGUGCAACAGGUUUUGGUCAAGAUCUCACUUCACAGGUCAAACAAUGCGUGAUACCCUAAAUAGCAACAUCAGUGAAGCUUUCAACAAUGUUCUUGUUCAUGCUAGAGGAAAACCAAUUAUCACCAUGUUGGAGGAUACCAGAGUUUAUCUCAUGAAAAGAUGGGCCACCAAUAUAAGUAAGGUGGCAUAUAUGGGCUUCACAAUAUCCCAAAGAUAAAAGAGACUUCAGAAGGAAUCAAAUUUGUCAAGAUUUUGGGUCUCAAGGUAAUAUUAUCAUUUAUGUUCAUAUACAUUUGUCAUUUAUCUUCAUUGUUGAAGUGCUUUAUUUAUUUCAGUUGGCCUGCACAAAAUAUUUUUGAGGUUAGCCACACUUCAGCCGUUGAGAACAAGUUCACACUGGACUUGGACACUAAAAAAUGUAGCUGCAGAAAGUGGAUGAUCAGUGUCAUCCCAUGCUAUCAUGCAAUUGCAACAAUGAACUACUCAAAUGUAGACUCAGAGAAUUUUAUACCCACUUGCUUUAGAAGAUCCACAUAUGAAGAAGUGUAUGCCUCUAUAAUUUUUCUAGUGAAUGACCACCUGCUAUGGGAAAGAACAACCUUCUCUGAUGUACUGCCACUAGUGAAGAGGAAGUUGCUUGGGAGACCAAAGAAAAAAAGGAGGUUGGAGGCAUGAGAGCUAACUAAGGAUGACACUCAAAUGCGUGUUGGUAGACAUAGAAAAAAAUGUAGCAUUUGCCGUCAGAAGGGGCACAACAAGAAUAACUACCCUUUACGUCCCCAGCCAGCAGAAACAACAGAGCUAAUGGAUGAAACACAACCAUCAUAGGCACCUCCAAGUACCCAAACCCUAUACCAUUACAGCCACCAAGUCCCCAAUCAACCCAUCCACUAGUGUUGAGGACAAAAUUAGAUGUUAGAAGAAAAGCUACUUAGAUGAAUUAGAUGUAUUAUGUACUGUGAUUAAGAACUUUAUGUCUUUACUUUCAUGGUGAUGUACUGUGCUUCAUGAACUUUAUUUAAGUAUCUUGGUCAUAAGUUGUACUCAUAUUUUGCUCAUGUACUGGUAAUAUAUAUGUAUGGUAAUGAAGGAAAGUGCUUUGAUGAAUUAACCUAUACUCAUAAUUUCUUAUUUCUUCAUAAUCUUAUGUUAACAGUUUUGUCAUCAUCAUAUACAUUAUUGGCUUGACCUAUGUGAAUAUUUUUAAAGCAAAUGGGAGAUUGAUUCGAAUAUUCUCCACUGAAUUUAACUCAUUAAAAUAGUCAAUGCUACGUAAUACAUUGCAUGACUGAUCUUACACCAACCAAAACACCUUGACAUUGCCAACCUACUUUUUUCAAGCAUCCAAUACAUUACAUGAAUGUCAACAAAACAUAAAAGAAACACCCAAUUUCCCCACCUCAGAACCUGAAAGUCACAAGGUUCAGCGUAAUAUACACAAACAAAGCUACAACUAACAACUUCAUCCUUUUCUUCAAAUCCUUCACUACAUUUUCCAGAUCACUUAUCCUCCUCACAAUUGUACAAUCUUUUUCAUCAACGUUUUUUUUCAGAACACCGCUUGAAAAAGUUACACGAGCUCCCAAUUGAAGAUCCACCCUAUUAUUCACCAAGUUAGGGAAUCUAUCACCAAAUGCAUAAAGUGAAGAAAACAUAAACUCGGAAGGGUAUACUUAAAACCUUGUAAUGAGAACAUCUCCAAAAAUUUCUGCCAGCAUUCUCCGUAGUUCCCGCGACUUUGGUUACAACAAUAUUACCACAGUAACAAAUAGGGAUUAUCCCACCUCCCCUCCAACCAUCACCAUGAGACAAACGCGAAGAUCCUUUGACCCAACUUUUCGAAAACGAAGAACACCCUUGGGAAGAAGCCAUUCCUAUCUCGCCCCAAACACUUUUCUCACCUCAACGACUAAGUUGGAGGAACCUAAACCCUAACCCCUCUUUUUUUAACUUCUGCCACGUUAUCUAUUUUUUUUUUCACAAUUUUAACCUCAAAUAGUCACACGGUCACAUAAAAUAGACACGUCAUUAUGUUUUGUCCAGGGUUCAGUUACACUGUUAAAAAAUUAAUGUCAUAACAAAAAAGAAUUAAUUUGAACAAUUUUUUCAUAAGUUGAAACUCUUUUUAAUUUUUUUAAAAAAAGUAGGACGAAUUUAAAUAUUCCCUAUUUUUCAAGGAAUCAAAAGAGGCAUUAAGCCUAUUAUUAACAUUGAGUUUAAAAGUUGAAAUUUGUUACAUUAUAGUUUUUAUGAUUUAUAACUUCUGAAAAUGUAUAUGUAUGAAGAUUUUUUUUAAAAUAAUAACUUGUAAAGGAACUGUUAUAACAAUAUUUAAAAAUUAGGUAAAUAAAAAUCACUUUCCAUAUAAGGUUUUUUUCUUCUUUUUGUGUUAAAUUGAUAUCUUUUAAGAAAAUAUAUAGUAUUUUUAUCUGUAAAACGUUGAUUAUGGACUGAAUUCUUUUCGGUAUAUUUUUUUGAAAUAAUAACCUUUCACUACUCUAUUUUUUUUUCGUAAAAAUUCCAUUUUAGUUCAUAUUUUAUAGGAUGAUAAAAAAAUUAUGACCUCUUUCAAAAGACAACAACAUCAAGUAAUUAUUUUUAAGCUAAAUAAAAUUAUUAUGAACUAUAAAUUUUUCAAUGUUUAACUUAUUUGUAUAUUAUAUUCAAACUCGAGGUCAUGUAUUAAAUAUUCAUAUAUAAAUUGAUUCAAGUGUUUAGUAAUAAACUCUAUUUAUUCUUAUAGUAAUCCUAGUUGUAGACAAGUUGUUCUUGUGUGACAUGGAUAUAAAUAACCAUGUGGAACUUGUUUUCCCUGUUUUUUUUUUCUAAUAACAUGUGCCUAGUUCAAAUUUGUUGGCCCCUUUCUAAACAUUAUCUGGGCCCAAAUUGGAAAUGAAUAGUACUCCAGUCCUAUGUAAAAUGAUUGACUUCUGUUGACUAAUUUUUAUUUUUGUAUAUAAUAUUCUUCUUCUUUGAGAUUGAUCAGAAGCAUGCCUAAUUCCUAGUUACAAUUUUAAUAUGAUAAAAAAAGUGACUCAUUCUUUUUGCAUUAAAAUUAUAAAGAAGACUAAUUCCCUAUAUAACCCUAUAUGUUUUAGUUAGAUCUUUGCAUUAAUUAUGCACUUUAAGUUUCACUUUUCCAAUUCAUGGCUUGUGGUACUUCUAAGAAUGAUGAUACAAAUCAUGAAGCAGAAAAGAAAGAGAAUAUAAUCACAUUGAAAAGUUUGUCUGGUGGACUAUUGAUUUUUCUGUAACGUGUAAUAUUGUGUCAUGUACAAUGUUGACUAUAUAUGCAGAUUACGUGCUCAAAUUAUUACUUACAUGAAUUCAUAAACAGUAGCCAUGCGCAUAAUGUUUCAUUGCUUCGUCGCUUUAAAACAUGUAACAUGUAAUUAAAUUUAUUAAUUCCAAGCACUAGUCUGAAAAUCUAAAUUUUACGUUGUAAUUUAUUCUUAGCUUUAAUAACUUAAAGUUUGACAUCAAACUAUUCCUAUUGUUAACCUUUUAUUCUUUAUAUUUCUUCAAAUUUACUUUAAUUGUUCUAUCAGAUAUAUUCAUUGAUAAUUUAUUGUUGAUUUAAUUUACCCACAAAUAAAUUCGUCAGUAAUUUAUUUGAUGAAAUCAAAUUUAUAUUUGAGAUUUUCUUUUCCUAAUUUUAUUUUUUGCUUUUUUUAAAAAUAGUCUACUUUGUAACAUUAUUUCUUUGUAUCAUUAGUGUAGGGCGGAGGUGAGUGGAUUCAAGUUCUGAUCGGGUUGUAGUUCAAUGGGAAAUAACCUAUGUUAUAAUGUUUUGCAAUUUGGAGAAAGGAUACAAGGGACACCUUGAGUUUGUAUGUUCUCAUAAAAGAUAUAAUAUUAGAUUUUUUUUUUUCUUGUGGAUGGGUAUUGGUACGUGGACAUUGGGUAUGUACGGAUUAUGGUAUCAAAGUUUGUUGUUAUUGGUCGUGUGGUCUCUAAUUACUUUCUUACUUGGUAUGGUUGUUUCAGAGGUAGGGCAUUUACGUUAAAUGUUUUCCAUGGUGUUGGGUGGGGUUACCAUGGUUUUUGUCAUUGCUAUCACAAUAUCUCCUAUACCAUCUUCCUAUACUGUGAUGGUGUGCUCAAGAAAGUCUUGUUUUUGUAAGUAGGUCCUAUUUUAGUAAUUAGGAGAGUGUUGUAGGAUGAACAAGACAUGUUUUGAUAAACAAGAUCAUGGAAGUCUUGCUUUGGAAAGUGUGCCCUAUUUUAGUAAACAGAUCAAGUUGCUCGAGUAUGGAAGAGAACAUAGUAAAAGAUGGUGAUAACAUGGUUUGCUUGGAUUAAAGUUGGUUUGGCAUGGUUUUGUUGUGUGGUGAUUUAUUUGAAAUAAGGGCAUAAUGAGGUUAGAUAUCAAUUUUAAUUAUAUCAUUAUAUGUUGUUUUGAUGUUUAUUUUGUUAGUUCACCCUUACGUUUUGUGGUUGUGGUUUCCGCUUUGAUGACCAUAUUCAUACGAGAGCAGAUAAUAUUACAAAGGUUGAUGUUGAUGGUACUAAUGUGAUGUAGAAUGAGAGACGGUGGAGAAUGAUUCUCGAAGUUUCCAAAAAGUUAUUUCUCUUUUUAAUUAAUCAUAAGGAGUCUUGGUACAUUAAUUCCAGUUGUAAUUGGAUUAUUUAUUGUUAUAGCAUAAACUUUAUUAUUUUUAUGACAACAAAAUAAAUUUUUAAAUUUUCACUACAUUGAGGUGGUAUCAUAAUUUUAUUUAAUUGAUGUCUUUUGUGUUUGGUUGGGUUAGAUUUUAAUAGGGUUGUUUCCUUUUGUCAAAGGUUAUUGCGGUAGUAAUGUUUUAACUUAUAUGUUUGACUUGCAUUUUGGGCUUACAAUGUUGAUAUUAGUUGUCUUGCUUCUAAACUCCAUAUUGUAAUUUCUUACAAAACAAAAUCAUGAUCCCUACAAACUGCAUUGUUUAUGUUUUCUAAAACUUAUAUAAGAUAAAUUGUGAGUAUGGUGGACGAUUUAAAUGGGGAUUGUAUUUUGCAGAAAGAUGAAUAAAUAAGUCUUGAUCGUUUAAUUGCUUAUAAUUCAAGAUAUCUCUUUUAUAUCUUUUGUUUUGAUUUUUAGGCUAGUUAAAUAGCUACCUUUAAGAUGAUUUAUAAUUAAGAGAUGUUGGAAAAAGAAUGGAUUAGUUUUAACACCUAGAAGAUGAAUUGGUGAAAAUAAAAAAUCAGAAUCUUUUCAAAAUCUUUUUCACAAAGUGUAAACCUUUCAAAAGUUUCUUGAAUCUCGUAUGAAAAAGAUAAAUCAAUGCAGCAAAAAAUAGUUGACGAUACUGAAAAUAUAGUCGACUUUAAAAUAAAGAGAUCAAGGAUAGAGAAAUUCAAACAUAGUUUUUAUACUAGUUCGACCAAACUGCCUACAUCCAGUGUCCUUCCUCUAACCGAAAGCAAAUGCACUAUAAUGGUCAAGGUUUUUACAACAAGGUUUCUAUAGGGACCUUCAUGUCAAAAUAUAAAACACCUCUCUAACCCUCUAACCAAAUAUAGGCAUACAACACCUAAAAAACAACAAGAUAUCCCCUCUCCUACAGUCUUUGUCAACUUUGAACAAUCCUCAAAGUUUUCCUAGCUCUUCCUGUAAUCACAAUAGGGCAGCCACAAUCUUCACAAGAUUGAGAGAAGUAGAUGAUCACGUUUCCAGUACACCUCAAUGUGCAGUAUGAUCAAGCCUUUCUUUCAACACAACCUUGCUCGUUAAAUAACUAUCCAAGAGAGAUCUCCACGGUCUUCUUUAUAAGUUCUUAGAGCUUUUCACAAAGAUCAAAAUCUGAAACAAUAGAAUGAAAUUGCUAGAAUAACCAAAGUCCCUGUGUAAAACAGAAUCACGUCUAUUUAUAGUUUUCUGUAAAAAAGACGCUCUUGUAGUCGACUUCACUACUAAUCCAGUCGACUUCAGUCAAACAAUUAAAAUAGUUAAAACCAAUUAGUAGCAGUCAGACCAACCAAAUUGAUUGGGCAUUUAAUUCAGUUGACUUGCAAUUAAUGCUUUGUCAAAUAGACAAUAUAUAGCUGUUAUAGUUCACAAACAUUAACAGAAAUUCAAAACAUAACUAACUAAGUCGAGUUGCCUACGUAGACAGUCGACUAUGUCACUUCAAUGUAGUUUUGAAAAUCUUUCCUUUGCAAAAAUACUCACAACACUGUUUUUGAAAAUUUGUGCAAAGUCACGAGUUUUAAUCGACUUACUUCAUAAUGAAGUUGACUUAAAACUUGCAGUUUUGCCACACAAUAUAAGUUCAACCAAGUGCAUGUGGUUUUCUUUUCUAAACACAUAUGUAAUGAAAUCACAGAAGAUAUCUCAUGUAAAGAUCAGUGAAUAUGCACACAUAUACAAAAUUAACACAAACAUGUUCUUCAAGAAUUCAUACACAAUAAAGUUUUGAACAUGUAACACAUAUCAAUACAUGUGUUAUUAAUAAUGUGUUGUCAUCAUCAAAAACCAAAAAUACUGUGAGAUUAAGGUUUAGCUAAACCAGUACUUCCCUUAUCAACAAUCUCAACAAGAGAUGUGGGACCUAAACCCUGUUUAAACAUUACAUUUCAUAUUUAAGAUCUCUGAGUCCUAUAUCCCUUAGUUUACUCAACCUACUUCCUCUACUACACCUACAUAGGCAAACCUAAGGCUUCCUUUGUAUUUGCAUUAAAUUGCAUUUCUUCUUUAAGAUACAAUUUAUCUCUUAGUUUGAAUUUUGGGUCUUAUCUUGUAAAAAACAAGUGGCAAUCCUUCCUUAUUAUUCCAUAUCAUGUAAGAACUAAACAAAUAAGAACAAAAAUGAAAUUAAAAGGUAUAAAAUGAAAAGGAGAAAAGGAAAAGAAACUUAGGAAAUUGAAGCCACGCUGUUUGGAGGGAUCCAAUAUAAGUGCAAGGGAGGAUCAUAAUUUGUUCUUUAAAAGAUAAGUCUCAAAAUAAUUUAGACUAAAAGAUAUAUUAUCUUAAAGAAAAAAUGUAAUUUAAUGUAAAUCGCUUUAAUUUUCAUUUAGUGAAAGGUUUAUUACUACAAAUGAGGCCUUAGGUUGCUUAUAUAGGUGUAAGAGAGGAAGUAAAUUAAGUAAAUUAAGUAAAUUGAAAGAUGUGGAACUUGGAGAUCUUAAAUUUGAAAUGGAACGUUAUAAACAGGUUUUAGGUACCACAUUUCUUAAUUCUACAUUACCCUAAAGAUAUAUAAGCUACCCAACUAGUGUAAAAAUCAAAACUAAAGUUAUAUCAUAGAUAACUUGAAUUACAAGCAACUAAAAGAGGAAAACUUUUUUAUUAUUUUUUCUUUUUAGUCCAAACUAUUUGGAGUCGCAUAUUGAUUGCACUUUAAAGAAAAAAAGGAUCUAUAAGUAUCUCUACAACCAAACUAAGGAACUAGCAAGGCAAAAUACAAACCUAUGAAAAUCUAUGCUAAUAAAGGCCAAAAUACAUGUUAUAAAACCUAUUCUAUUCUUUUCAUUUCUUCAUGUUUUCCUUAUGUCUUGAGCCAUUUAUGAUCACAUCAGAUCAGCCCAAUGAAAAGGGGUGAACUCAAAAGCUAAUCUGAGGUUGUUCACAAAGGGUGAACUCAGAAUUAUAGGUAGGGGUCAAAGACCCUGUUAUUUUCUUCAUUCUGUCUUUCUUGUGGACAUCUUGGUGCCCUCGUAAUGUUGUGAGAUUGCAUUUUAGUGCAUUCUGUUUUCAAGUCAUAGCAUGCUUUGUAUUGAUUACAAAAUGUAGUUUUAAAGUACAUGGACAUAAGGGUCUAUAUAAGAAAAUCCAGAUUUAGAUAAAGCCGUGUCUCAUGGAAUGUUUGCAAAUAAAGAAACUGUUUUUGGCACUGUAGUAGAUGCACGUCAAACUUCUUAGUAAAAAAGGAUUCACUGUGAUUUAUUUAAGGUGAUAUCAUAUGUCUUGCUUCUAAAGUAUGCUUUAGUAAUUGUUUUUACGUUGCAUGUUGCUGUUGAACGUGGAGUAAAAUUUUGAGUAGUAGACAGAGAAGAAAAGUGGAUCCCCUAUCACUUUCUUAUGAUUCAAUAGUGGUUUUCAUACAAAUAGUAGCGAACACACUAUAAACUGAAGAACUUUGUAAUUAAAACAGCUUAAACUCAAACCAAAUCUACUCUAGGAAAGCAAUAAAAUCUACCAAACUAGCUUUGUAGUGAAGGCAGGUUCAUAACAUUAGAGAGAAGGAAAACUCAGAACUGUAAAAUCUGGAAAAGGUUUUCUUAUUAGUCACUAUGUGGUUUUCAUCCAUCUCUAAUUUUGAUAUUCGCAUUCCGGUUCUGCAACACCCCGGACUCAUCAUUUCUAAUAGCAUAUGGCAUAUUACUGCAAUAUCUUCGCACUGGUUUUUUAUUACAUUAGUCUACUACAUCAUUUAAAUUGAAGAACUUUAGUUCAAAGUCAAAAGGAAUAGAUAAUUUGGUAGAAAGAAAAAAUGAGGUAAAUUAGGAGUUAUGAUUGUAUUCUGUUGAACAGUACGUAGCAUCAACUUAUGGGCUUUGCAAGUUUAUUGGAAGACAGGAUAUGAAUGACAUAGCACGGGGGAAUCUAUUGAUUGAUUUUCUUCACUCUCGGUUCUUUGCUUAUUGGUAUAACAAUCAAAGAAUAUUACACCCCGAUUGUACUUUAGUUUAAGUCAUAGGGAAAAUUCUCAGCUAAACUUUAAUGGUUGCAGAAGAGUAAUAUAUAUAUAUAUAUAUAUAUAUAUAUAUAUAUAUAUAUAUAUAUAUAUAUAUAUAUAUAUAUAAAGACCAUAUCAAUUUGAAUUGUAAUGUGUAACAGCAAUAGGUGGUAUAAAGUGAAAAUAGAAACUUCCUCAUUUCUCUUUAUGCAAGUGAUAAAAUAAAUUGGAGAAAGAAUGAGUGUGUGAGAGAAAAAGAAUGGAGGAUUCAUGCAAGUUGUGGUAAGAUGCAUUGUUUCAUGUGUGGGGUCGGGAAUGAAUAGGACACUCCUUCACACUUUCUAUCGCGCUUGUUUGGAUAAUUUUGUUCGUCUUUUGUUAAAGUCCUUUCUGGUUAAUGUUCCAAACCGCUCGAGGAUACUUGUCAAAGGCAUUUCGAUGCUUAAGUCAUUAAUUAAUCCAGACGAUGGUUAGAGCAAAGUCAUAAAUUCACAAUAAAUAUGAUCACUUACUUUUUAUCUUUGACCUCUAUUUAUAGUUUUAGAGAUGGGCUUAAGAUUAGCAAAACCCUAAUCACGACCCCAAUCUCGGUCCAUUAUCUACUAAUUAACACUUACUCUUAACCUUGUCUAUUUGGUCUUUACCCACAUUCGGCCGAGCAAUCAUCGUCUUAUUUUGUUCAAUUUCAUGGGUUCAGACAUAUUCGAUCGGUCAUCCCUCAAUGGCUCUUUCUGCCCGGUCUUAGCUAUGUUGUCAUCUGGCCAUACAGUACAAAGGCCUCCCAAGCCCUAGCCAACCCUGGGUGGCGUUGGAUUUGAUACAUGGGUGGUGUGGAGUAGGUCUCGUGGCUAUGGUUGGAGCUUCCCCAUACGACGUGAUUUGAAUUUGUGGUAGUGGUGGGAAGACACUUGUCUUAUUAAUUAUGUGUUGUCAUCAUCAAAACCAGAAGAUCUCUGAGAUUGUAAGGUUUGGCUAAAUAAGUGUUCCCUCUAUCAAAAAUCCCAACAACCUUCAACAAAGAAAGGUCAAACCUUCAACACAAAAGAAAAAGGACACACCUUGAACUAAGAGUACAGAGAGAACAGAGGAUUGGAGAGAGAACGGAGAGUGGAGAAAGAACAACAAAGAAGUUGAAUUAUAGAGAGAGAAUGAACCCUCUUUUUCUGAAUGAAAAAAGCAAGGGUAUUUUGGAAUUCAUAAGUGUAAUAUGAUUACAUUUUCCCACGUUACCUUUUUCAAAUAAAAAAUUUAUUUUAACCUUCUCCAAUACUGUUUUUAGACAUGGCAAUUGUGAAAAAGUUAUAAAAAAAAGGUUUAAUGUCUCGAUAAGUCCUUAUUUUCGUCCUGAAUCUCAAUUAGGUCCCUUUUUUUUCGACUUCUCGAUUAGGUCCUUAUUUUUGUAAAAUUGAAUCAAUUGAGGGUCUACCGUCAAAUUAAACAAACUGUCGUUUAAAUUUACUGACGUGACAUUAAAAACGAAUUUUAUAUUAAAAAUUUGAAUUACACAAGUGUGAAUUCAAAUUUAAGAAAGGGCAAAGUAGGCAAAAUCUAAAAUUUAAGUGCAGCCCCUAACUUCAAUCUUCCAUGUUCAUUUCAUUCAACUCAAAAUUAUAUUCUGUUCAUCAGCAUCCUUCCCAAAUUCCAUCAACGUUUCCCUGUCCUUAUCAUACAGCGGGCACUCAUUCUCCAACUAACAAAGUUGGACUACCAACUUAUCAAACUCCAGUGCCAGUCUAUGAUUCUCCUCCACGAAUUUCUUCAAAACUUGCACUCGCUUCAAACUGCUCUAAAAUACCCAGAAUUCCCAUCAUCAAAUUUUCAAAAAAAAGAAAAUGAAAGAUAAAGAUUCAAAAGACCAAUCUUGCAUAAAACAAAAUCAAAUGCAACCAAAACAAAAAGUAAAAAGCCUUCCAAUUCCAACAUUAAUAAACAACCAGUACAUGAUUGGAUUAAUGUGAGUAUUUCAACAAUUUACUGAAGCUUCACAAUUGAGAUUUCCCAAAUGCAGAUUAAAAAAUGAUGAUAAAAGCAAACAAAGAGGAGCGGACCUCACCUCGUCCACAUUAAAAUCCCGAUCAAUUAACCGGUGUCCUGAGUUCUCCAAUUCAGAAACCCUAACGCUCCUUCGAGUUUCUUUCGACACUUUCGCGACGGCGGAGUCCAAAUCCUUGCGGAGGAGCGUCCCUCCCAUGAUGAAUCCCUCUUGUUCGAAGGCAAAGAGCGUCUUGGACUGCGACGGAGAAGAACAAAAUGGAAAGGUGAGACCUUGAAGGAAAUGUAAAUGUUAUUGAUGGUGGCCAAGUCGUUGAAGGAGAUGACGUUGAAUGGAGGAUGCAGAUGAUGUUGACUGGCUUCAUUACUGAGAAGGAGUUUUAGGGUUUUGAAAGAAAAGGGGUUAAUGGAAGAAGAAAAGAGGUUUGUCUUUUUUGCCCCUCUGAACAUAUUUGAUUUAACUUUGCUUAAUUAUUUUUUAAUAUAAAAAUUAAUUCAAAUUUAUUUUUAAUGCCACAUAAGAUAAAUUUAAACGGUCGUUUGUUUAAUUUAACGGCAAGUCUCUAAUUCUUCAAUUUUACAAAAAUAAGGACCGAAUUGAGAAGUUGAAAAAGAAAUGGACCUAAUUAAGAUUCAGGGCAAAAAUAAGGACUUACGGAACUAUUAAACCUAAAAAAAAAAGUUGUUAACUUAUCGCGAUCCACAAUCAAUAAAUCUCCUUUAACACGAAAACUACCUAAAAGCAAUAUCUAUAACUUAAUGUAGUAAGGAAUUUUGACCAAUAAUUUUUUAGACACAAAGUAAUAUGCUUAAACUAAGUAUAAUUUCAAUGUCUAAUCUCUAUGCAAACUAGUAGAGUCCAUUCUCUACCUAUUGUAAGGUAGUGUGGUGUUUUUAUUACACCACUUUUACUUUGCACGUGGGUAAAUGAUAUAGAACAAUUAUAUUUUUUGUAAUCACCAACAAGACCAACCCCUAACUCUGCUAUCAAAUAAAAAAGGACGGAUCUAACAAUGUGAUUAAAGGAAUUUGAGUAACCUCCACCGCUAACUCAACAUGCAAGAGUUCAUUUUCAAAUGUAUUUAGAAGUCUAUAUCACAUAUAUUCAACUAUAACUUCAAUUACUCAAAAAGCAACUUGAGCUGUAAGGAGUGCAAUGGGAAAACUCCAACCUAGAAAUCAAAACAAUAGAAACAAAAAUACAACCAAACUUAGGCAAAGACUAAAUUAGUUGAGAAAGUUAUUUUUCUCAAUUUAUAAAGUAUAAAAGAAAAAUUAAAUGGAUUUUUGAUGCAAAAAAGAAAUUUUAAUUUGAAAAGAAAAUUCAUAGGAUAGAAAUGGUAUUUUAUCAUGCUAGUAUAAGGUAGGAUAUGAUUAUGAAAAUGGAGCAUUGGAGUGAGACACUAAAAGAAAUAUUAGAGAAAAACAAACGUUUUUGCAUGCAUGAGAAAGAGAGAAUGAGGGGGAAGUUUUACAAUUUUUUAACUCAAAAAUUUGGGUUCCAUCUUUAAUUUUGUUUAUAUUUUUUUACAUUUACCAAACUAAAUUAUAUAUGUAUGGUCACAAAUGAAAUUAGUAAAUUUAGGAAUAAAUAUAAAAAUCACAUACUUUCAAAAAUAGAGAAACCAAAUGUCUCACCCGGUUUAUUCAAUCAUAAAUUGUAAUAGUUGGUACCUAAUGUUUUAACUAUAAUGUUUUAAUUAAUUAAAAAUAUAAAAAUAUUUAAUAACUUUAACUUUUAUAUUGAAUACUUCUUCGUUUAAAAAUAUGAUUUCAAAAUAGUAAUGUUUUCCCUUCCGAACAUAAAAUUCACUUCAAUAGUUUUCUAAAAUAAUACAGAAUUAUUCACUGUUUUUAUAAUCAUAUUAAAGAUUCGUGUAUUAUUUUAUCUUAAGUCCGUAAAAUAUCAUAUCGGUCGUUUAUCGACGAAAUAGGCGAAAACUGGAAAGCAAAGACUGAAGGGAUAUGUUUUGCUUAGCGAUGAAGGAAAUCUAUAUUACAAAUAAAUUAAAAAAACAAUGUCAUAAUCAAUUAAAUAUAAGAAAAAAAUAGUAAGAACCUGAUUCUAUUUUAUUUUCAUUGAAUUAACAUACCUAUAUAUUUUUGUCUGUGUCUGAAGUAGAUUCUAUUUAUACAUUCUACGAAUCUAAUACUGAUUCUGUGUUAACAUCAUACUUCAUUUUUGUCUGCCAUAAGCAGAUUCUGAUUAUAGCUGCAAUUGCAAAUAUAACAUGAUUGAGGUUAUACUUGCAACAUAACGAAAUACUUUCCCAAAAGGGCUCUUAUUUUCGUAUUGGCCCCAAAGGUUUUGGAAUAACAGCCCAUUACAAAAGAUACUUUAUUCUUUCUUUCUUCAAUCACUUUUAUUGCAGGAGGGCAGUUUGAGAUCUAUUUAGGUUAAACUCAUUCGGAGGUAUCUAUUUUUGUGUUUUUGUUUCACUUACAUUUCUGUCUUUUAUUCUUUCACCAAUUAGAUUCUUAAGAUUGAAAAAUUGAAAGAAUUUGACCUUUGCCGUUAAAUCAAGCUAACAGGAUUAACUUUCAGCUUACAUGUAAGGGUGAGGUGGAUAAAUAUGAUCACGUGGCGUGCACAGAAGGGUUUGUUUAUGUACGUGGCAUUAAAUUUAAAAAGUAGGGGUUUUGUUAAACAUUUUAAAAUUAGGGUUAUUUUAAAAUACAAUUAGGAUUAAAUCUCUUUCAGUAGUGGAGUGGUGGUUCCAACAGCACCGACUCGUCAUCACUGGCGAUGUCUACGGCUCAUCCUCAGUUGCGCCUCGGUGCUACUUCUACCGGUCUCUCCACCGUCAAGUGCAUGCAAAACGUGGCCGCCAAAGCCGUCGCGCAACGCCUCACUCGUGUCAUGGCAUCUCAGAACGCCAUCAUCGACGAAGGUGAAGAUGACGAUGAUCUCGAUUUCCGGUUCAGCGCUCCGCCUCCUACAUCUAUUUCUUCUUUCUCCAUCAACGCCAUCAGUAACAGGAGCACCAACACAAAUGCCUCCACUAUUCCUCCGAUUUUGGUUGCCAAGCCUAACAGAUCUACUUCUCCUACGAUAACUCUCUCUGCAAUUCGACACUGUUGGGUAUGUCACUGUUUGUCCAGAAUUUCAGGAAGAAAAUAGAAGAUAAACGUCACGCUAGAGAGAAAAAAUCACCAUGGUCGCGAACCGAACAGUGAGAAGGAAUUCAAAGUGAGCGCGUUGAAUGAAGAGAAAAAAAAAUAAAGUGAAUAAGAUUAACUGAAUAAGGAAUCCACCUUGUGGUCGCGACUACGGUAUUUGAACUGGCGAGGGAAAUAACGAAGGACGUAACUAAGGCCGUCAUCGGAGAGAAACAUCUCUGGUGUUAGUUUGGGCCUUGUUCGAGGAAGUUUCUUGGGCUUUUCGGUUGUGAAUCUGGGCUUGAAAGAAAAGGAAGAAGGAUUGGGAGUGGGAUUGGUGGAGGCGUUAGGGUUUGGAUUGGAAUUGGGAGCAGAGAAAGGACAGUCUCGUGACCAAUGACCUGGUCUGCCACACUUGUAACAGCCUGUGGCGGUUGCUGUUCCUUUUCCUCCAUUUUUUCACUUCUCACUGAUCACUCUCCUUUCCCAACACACCAUCUAUCUGUGGUGCGAUGGUGCUCCACCUGGACAGGAUAGAAUGCGGUGAUAGAGCUACGUGGUACAAGCAACUGUUAUCGGCAAUACUGCAGCAAUGAUUUUGAUGAUUGAGUGUCUGGUGCAGGAGGUGGUCGUCGGCGACGGUGUGGUAGCGAUCUAGGUGGCGCGGCGCAAAUAGUGAAGUAAGGAAGUUUUAGGGUUUAUGGAAGGAAGAAGGAAGAAUUUUCAGUUAUUUUAAAAAAUUUAUUCAGAAUAAAAAUUAAAUAAUACAAAUAAUUAAUAAUAAUAAUAAUAAUAAUAAGGUUAAGAAACACUAAUUUUUUAAUUCUUUGUUUAAGAUACUGACACGUGUAUAAUAAAACCAACGUAACAGGUUCUGUGCACACCACGUCACCAUAUUUGUCCACCUUACCCUCACAGGUAAGAAAAAAGUUAACCCCGUUAACUUGAUUUAACGUCAGGGGUCAAAUUCAUUCAAUUUUCCAAUCUUAAGGACCUAAUUGGCAAAAAAAAAAAGAUGAGGAUGCAAGUGGGACAAAAACACGAAAAUAGGGACCUCUGAAUGUGUUUAACCAUCUAUUUACCUGUAUUGAUGUUAAUUGAAGAGAAGGUGCUUAUUAAAUAAGUCUACUAAGUUCAUGGGGUACCAUAAUUGAGAUCUGGGACACUAGAUUGGUCGAAGAACCUUUAAUGAUUGGAUUGUGAAUAGGUGUAUGGUAAGUAAAAGUCUAUAUAAAUAUUAUAAAUAAAAAGUUUAAGGUAAUUGUUCACUUUUACUGCAACAUUUAGUAUAGCCUUUGGAUCAAUACUAAUUUAAGCAUCAGAGUGUAAUCUAUAAGUACACUUCGAACGAUUUGGACAACUUGAGACCUUAAGUAUUGAAAGGAGCUGAAAAUUGAAGUUAACCUAAGACCGAGACAUAUAGGAAAUGGAAAUGCUUGACCAAUCUAACAGAAACAUUUUUGUACCCACCGUGGGACCGAACGAGCACUUUUUUGCUGCUAUGGUAAUCACAAAGAACAUGACAAACAAUGAAGUACUAGAGGAGCAGCAUGUGGAUCCUAUGGCUAUGAUGCACGACAUGAGAAGGGAGAUGGAGACUAUGAGAAGGAAGCAUGAAGGAGAGAUGACAAUUUUGCACACAGAAAACACACUUAUGAAACAAAAACGGAAACUAAGGGACAUGUACAAUCCACCCCAACUCAACUUGGACCAACCAAACAACCAAGAAUCGAGCAUGAUCGAACAGUUCAGAAGAAAAAUUAUGGAGCUAGUAGAGAUCACAACCCAUCUGUCACUGUCACGGUAGACAUGUCUGGGUGCACCCGUUUACUAGUGGAAUCAUUAAGACCCCUUUACUAGACAAUUGGAAGAUGUCAACGUUUGACAAGUAUGAUGGAUCCACGAAUGUUAACGAGCACAUCAACAUUUGUCUAACGCAGUUGGUGUUAUUCACGUCAGAUGAUAUCAUUUAGUGCAAGGUAUUCCCAACAUCACUAAAAUGAGCCAUCCUCGAGUGGUUCAAGCUUCUAUCUGUCAACUCCAUCGGCUGCUUCGCCACAAUUAGAACGAAAUUUAGAACAUAAUUCACCACUAGCCAACAACAUCAUCUAACGUACAUAGCGCUUGUCAACAUUCGACAAUACAAAGAUGAAAUCCUCUGAACAUUCAUAGAUCAAUUUGGAAAGAUAUCUUCACAAAUAAAGGACCUAAGUCAUAAAGUGCCUAUGCAUCAGAUAAUUCACCAAAAAAACUUGUGGGAUCGUUCCCCAAUAGCCUGUUAUGCAGUCUACCACAAAUUUAGACGAUUUGAUAUAGAGAGUAGCAAAGUACAUGCAGCGAAAGGGCUUGAAAGGCUUUCGAAAGCAAAUGCGACUAUAAAGAGCAAAUGUAAAUAAGGGUACAAAUAAAAAAUCAUUCACCAAGAAUCAAGACUCAAAGUUACGGAGUCAAUCAGAGGUCCCCACUUCCAUAACCACACACCAUCGAACAAUGGUUGUUCGAAAAUCCUUUGGGAAGCUCUAAACACAUACUUGUUACCAUCACCUAGAAGAAAGGCAACCCUGUUGAACCUUGAUAGUAAUAAACAUUGUUAAUAUCAUCAUCACUUAGGCCAAAACAACGAUGAGUGUCUACCGCUAAAAUAUAAAAUAGAAGAGUUCAUCCAACUUUGACAGUUAAAGAAGUUUGUCAAAAUUGAUUAAACCCCUACCAUAGAGAAGAACCCCUAAAUGAGCAGUAUCAAUGUACAAAUAGUAUAAGGAGCAGCCUAGGUGAAGAAGCCGAAGUAAGAACAAGAGUCGGGAUGGUCCAUCGAGGGAAACAAUCAACACAACCUAAGGAGGUUUCGCUUGAGGAGGGCACACAAUAUUUUCCUAAAAGAAUCACAUUUGAGCAAUUAAAAUGAUGAAUCUCGUAGAGAAGAGAGUUAGAAGCACGCCCUUCAUCACAUUUUCUAACGAUGAUUAUAAAGCGCCUGACCCUGACCAAGACGACUUGAUGGUCAUCUCAAUCCAGCUAGCCGACUAUGCUAUAAGCAAGAUUUUGGUCAACCAAGGCAGACAAGAAGAAGAAGGAGUUGUGCUUACAACCUUCACGGCUUCCCCCGACCGAUUAGCAGAUUCCUCUUGCUCAACAAGUUCAACAGCAGCUUUGAAGAAAUUCUUCUUUAGAUUGUGGGAUGCCAUAAUCUCUGAAAGACAACAAAAAAUUUAGCUAGGUUAAAAUCAAGUCAAAAACAAACGACAAAAGGAAUGCCAUAUCGAACACCUCAGUACUGAGGUCCUCCCCACCAAGGCAAUUGAUUAUCUUUGAGGAAGGGAGCUGGCGAGGCAAGUCAUCAAGAACAUUGAGUGCCUCCUGCUCGGCCGGAGUCAUAUCUGACUGUAACCAGGAAGUCACCCAAGUAGGGUCUUCGGUCUAGUACAAAGAAAAUUUUGGUCACUCGUCUUCCCCAAAGAAUAGUAGAUGGCCAAACUCGGUUAAUUCUACCUUAAAAAAUUUAUCAUUGAAGCCCUUGAAUGAAAGAGAAUAAAGCUCAAAUAAGGCUUUCCCUUGCUCGAAGAUCGGGGCGACCCAACCGCGUUUCGGAAUAUGUCAGGUCCAAAAGUAGUGAAGAAAAAGAGCGCGGGUGUAGGUGUGAGGUCCAACACUUAGCAAACGAUGGCGAAGGCCUGAAUAUACCCCUAGUUAUUUGGAUGCAGUUGGAAUGGGGCAAUAUUUAGAGUACGGAGGACGUCCAUUUGAAAAGAGCUAAACGACAGAUACACAAACAUCUCAUGGAACAUAUAAGCGUAAGCGAAGAAGAAGUCACUCUUACUCCCUCCUUUUCCAUGAAACACACGGUCAUUCUCCUCACGGGCCAUUAACCUAAAUAGAGGACCAAAAUCCAUUGACCGCAACACAUAGUUACAAUCAGUCCAGUCCGCCAACUGACUCAUGUCAUGAGACGCUUCAAAAGUAGGUGGAGAACUCACUCACAUCAUGAGACGCUCAGUCGUAGCCCGCGACAAUGGGCAAAGCUCCCACCUGCUUGUUCUCCUCCUUAGCACCCUCCAUAAUCACCCCUCCAUAGACAAAGGUCCACUGACCGUUGAACAUAACCUCUUUAUUUUCUUCUACAAUGGAUUCAUUACCAUCACAACCACCAUCCCGCUCGGUUGACUCCAUGAAGGAGGAAGAAGACUCCGAGCCCACCGAGAAUGAGACCCCAUCAUUGCCCCACCCGCCCCUUCCCGAAGACUCCUCAGACGAAGAGAGGUUCAUGGUAGCCAUUUAUUACAUGAAUUAAAAAAAAGACAAAUAACACUUUCAAACGUUGGAUGAAAAUACGUGAAAAUUAUACAAUGGGUCUUUCCUAUUUAUAGGCAGCAAAUGGAGGACCCAAAGAUCGUCCUAACUGUUGGAUGUAAAGAAAUCCAACGGUCUGAUUCAAAGACUCCAUAACUUCCAUCCAGCAUGAGAAACGAAAAAUCACAUCCAACGGUUAAGAACAGCUGACCUUGCACAUUCCUAUCAACGCAUGAAAUAGAACCAAACGCCAAUGGUAACAAUUUCAAAAUCAAGGCAACACCCCACCCAAACCAUGCACGCUCACCAAACAGUUAGUAAAGUCCCUUGCACAUUCCUAUCAACGCAUGAAAUAGAACCAAACGCCAAUGGUAACAAUUUCAAAAUCAAGGCAACACCCCACCCAAACCAUGCACGCUCACCAAACAGUUAGUAAAGUCCCUUGCCAAACAUGUUCGUCUCGAACUUGGGAGUCUGUGUACUGUAUGAACCGACCGAUAUACGUAUACCGGUAGACCACACGAUUAAUCACCUUUAGAAACGCAUUACAACCAAAUUAAACGAACGGUCACUUACAACACUCAUCGUCGUUAGGUAUAAAGACUUUAGAUUAACAAAGUAAAAACAUACUUAAACAAUGUUAGGCUUACACUUAUCCAAAGAUAAAGACAUAGGUGAUUACAUUUGGCAUUUGAGACUUAAUUAUAACCAUUCGAUAAGACUAACUUGAAUAUCAAGAGUACAUUUCUCCUCAGAAUUUUGAGGAGAAUAACAACAUAUUAUAAGAAAGUUAAAGAGUUAAUUGAAGGCAACAAACUAGAUUAGUAUAUAUGGAAACACAUUAUUUAAAUUGUCACUCAAAACAUAUCUUAAUUACGUUUCCUCACUUCCGCAUCAAUUUAGUUUUUUUAUCAAUUUUUGUUUAAAUAUUUAGUCGAAACAUAUUCAAAAGUUACACAUUCAAGAUGAAAAGGAAAUAAUUUAAAAAAUAACCAAGAUAGUAAAAUAAAAUUUAUUGUGGAUAUGGAAUUGCUUGAUUUGAUUUUAACCCACAAAUAACACCAAUUCAAUCAAAUCCAAGUUAGUGUAAUGAGUGGAUUUGAUGAAACCUCAAUCACAACAUUGUCCAUAAUAAGAACACGAGAAAGAAACUAAAAUUUAAAAAGCACAGCAAAACUUCUUGCCGGGGAGGAAGAAAUGACAAACUUUGGUAUUUUCUCAUUGAAAUGGUAGACAAUAAUACAACAACGGUGUAACAUUGGUACAAUAAAGAUAUGUCUGUCACUAUUUGCUGCACGAGGACCUUCAAACUACUUAAUUCAUACAGAAUAUCUUUCCAUUAUGCCCCAAGAGAAAAGAAGAAACAUAUGUACAAGGGUUGAGCUUUUAUGGAACCCCUCCAGAGGGUCUCACUGUUUUGUGAAAGGCCGUGUAUAACAUUUGUGAAGGGAUAAAUCCUGAACUAUUGAGCAUAUAUGUAAUAGGCCAAGUCAAAUAAAAGCCGCAUCUUUCUGUUGUUAGUUUUCAAAUUUGUAUCAAUUGUGGGAUAAGCUUCAAAAGGAAAGAUAAAUCCUGCUGUGAAAAUUGUGGAUUUGAGUUCCCCUGCACCGUCACACUCCCCUCCGUAAAACCCUCCCCAUCACCACCCUUUUUUGGCUUUAUCAUAUCUGCAACUGCUUCGGUUAUUUCUUUAACCAGAUCCACAAUUACUCCAUCAAUUCCCAUUAGAUGUUGCAUGUAAACUGCCUCAGGAACAUUGCUGCAAUGUCAAAUAUAAUCAUGAGCCAAAAUGUUACACCAAACACAUUCUUUUCUCAAGCAAUUAACAAAGGAAAGAGAGUACUAAAAACAAGCAUACUUUAAUUUGCCGUAAGAAAGGAGGCAGAGCUUGGACUCCUUUAUCUUGGUUACUGUAGAAGGAUCUCUAAAAAUCCCUUUAAUUUCUGAGACAAUUCCUUCCAAUCCAUUCUCAACAGAGAGCUUCAUGGCCUCCUCCAGUGAGUUUCUUCUCACAUCUUCAUAGAUUUCACAUCCUCCAUUUGUCAAGAAAAAGACCUGGUUGUUCCCAACAAAUUAACCACAACAUCAGAUCCAGUUAAAGAAAUAAAAUAAUUUCUCAGAACUAAAAAGGCUUAAAGAACUAACAGGGUAGUUGCUUUGCAAUUUCCGGAUGAGCAAGGCUGCAUCUGGCUGGAAUGUUGAGAAGAUAAUAGGUCUAUCCUUGGCGUAUUCAAACACAACCUGCACCCCACAAAUACCAAAGACAAUGAGAGAUCCAAGUCACCACUUUUGAAAUGUAAAACUAAAACAAAACACUCAGUGUCCCCCAUAAACACAUUUUAGGCUUAAAAUAGACUCUCUUAGCGUACCUUUAAGAUGGUUUGAAGGACAUGGACGAGAUAAUCUUGCUCAUAGACAAUGUGAUCAUCGAACUUCAACUCAAUAUUAAAACCAAUAGCGGGUUCCACCUUCACAAAAGCCUCUUGGAGAGUGCAAAGUGAGUCAUCUUGUUCAACAUCCCAUGGCAUUAUCUUCCCAUCUUUUUUCCUUAGCAAAACCUUUCCCUCAUUGCCAUGCUCUCUCUGAGGCCCAUAAGAAAGAAACUCUGAGAGACUCAGCUCUGUGAUCCUCCUUCCAGUUACAGCACCCUGCAAAACACAUUAAUUUCAACGUAACAAACCCAAAAAACUCGACCCAUUGAAAAGAAAAAGAAAGAAAUCAUCAAAGCUAAGCAAAAACAAAAAAACUCACAUUCUCCUCCGAGAAGAUGAAAUCGUCGUGGAAAAUGACGGGGCAAUCAUCUCUCGUCACCUACAAAAAACGUGCAUUUUUUAAUUCGUUUUCUUUUUUUUUUCUAUAAAAAAUGCAACGCGUCAAACAAAAACAAACAAGCAGCCAAUCAGUACCGAACAGACGGUCAAAAAAGGGCCGAGAAAGGCAAAUUAUUUACAGAAAAGCCAUCGGGGUAAAAUAGGAAAAGAAGAAAAGUAGUUGUUGCGAAACACAAGAAGCGAAAACGGUGCGCGCGGUGGAACAUUAAAUUAUUGCAUUGAGUGCAAAAGCAGAAAGAGGAAAAUAAAAGAAAAGGUCACCUGAACGUCAAAUUCUAUGAAAUCGAGAGGAAAAGUAGAGGCGGCGUUGAAGGACAUAAUGGUAUUUUCCUUUAUGGCUCUCAUUCUUCGAUCCGAAGAUUGCAGAACGUUCAUGCCGUUACCCCUGUGGCCGAUGACGACGAACUUGGGCAUCUUGAAGCCACUCCGAGCAAUCUCGACCCCUGCAUUAACGAUUAAAAGAAUGUUAGGAAGAAAAGAUGGGAAGAGGAAGAAGAGAAGGAAAGAGAUGGAAAGAACCGUUGGGGAAGCGGGAGGAGCAGAGGGCGAGAGAGGCAUUCUCGGGGACGUGGUCAAGGGAAGGGACGUCGGUGACAUGGACGGCCUUGAGAGCCAUUUGGGUGGAAGGAAAGAGAGAAAGGAGGAAGGGGAAAGGGAGGUGGUGAUGAGGAGGGCACCGGAUGGUUUGUGGGUGAUGGUGGUGGUGGUGAAGAACAAGGCAUGGUUUGGUCCGCUAUUUAUUGCUUCCACCUACGCCAAAUUCACCCUCCAACGGAUCUCCCCACGAAUAUUCCCCUCCCAUCUAUAUGCUUGGGAUAUUCCCUUGUCAUUUUCCACCCUUUCAAUUUCAACCUACACUUUUUCUUUUUCUAUAUCUAUAUCUUCAACAAAAUAUGUCAUUAUAGAUUUUUUACUAAUUUAUUGGACUAGAUUUUCGUCUAAUAUAUUAAUAAUAAUACCAUAUUUAAAUAAAAUAUUUAUAUAUAUCAUCCAAAUAAGUUCAAAAUAAUAACUGAAAAUUUUGAAACCGAACAAUUUUUUUUUAUACAAAAUUUAAAAACAAACACCUUUUCAACCAUUUAAACCACUAAAACAACCAACAAUUGUUUUAUCUCUUACUACAACUUCCAAAAAUAAAGCAAUUGACCAUGAAUACCUUUCAAUUCCAACAGACUUUGAAGCUAGCAUAAAAAAAUCUUGAAACAAUAUCGGAUAACUAGGAAUUGGUUCGAUCAAUUUCCAGCACAAACUGUUCUAGACACCAAAAAUGGAAGCCCUAUGACCAUUUUAAGAGGAAAAGCUAUACAUCUUUUAAUUGGAUGAUUUUAUUUAUUUUUUAAAUAAAAAAAGUAAUUCUUUAUUUAUGUAAUAAAAUAAAUUAUUAAAUAUUGUUUGUUUAAAAAAAAUAAAUUUCUAAAAUAACACUUGCGUAAAAUUAUAUAUAUUUUGUAGUGAUUGGAAACAAUGCUGUGGUGGUGGCGGGUGAGAAGUGGCUGGGUGACAGCUGGGGUAUUAUGUUAUAGUCGUUGACCUGUGACAAGGCAAACUACAAGGUUUUUGAAGAAAAUCUGUGGUGGGAUCGUCCGAACAUUGCGGACUACGGUAUUUUAUAAGAUAGAGGAUGAAUGAAGAAACAUAAUUGAUCGGGUAUGACGUGGUGACACAACAGCAUGUAGAUAGAUAGAGAAAGGUGGGUGGUUAUAAUUGGAUAAGACUACAAAAAGGAUUUAGGAAUGACUCAUGGCUGCCUUUGCCAAACUAUUAAUUUUAUUUAAUGAUAAAAAUUGAUGUUGUCUUUGUACUUUUAGGAAAACAAACAAAAAGUUAAAAUACGGUGGAAACAAUUUGAUAAAAAAAUUGGAAUUUUUUUUGAAAAUAAUGUAUUUUAAUUAGUUUGAUAUAAAAUAGAAACAUUAGGAAAUAUCACAUUCUAUGUUUUUAAUCUUUACGAAAAUAUUUAUUAGUAUAAUUACGUGGUACAAGUAAAAAUCUUCUAGAUAAACUAGAAUUCUCUAUAAGUUGAAUUGCUGUCUGAUUGAGGAGAAGCGGAUUGAGCUUCAAGAAAAAGGAAAAGUAGAGAAAGAUUCAUGUACAAAAUAAAGUUAAUAAAAAAGUAUAAAUAGUAUAAGUGUGAAUAGGAGAUAUACCUGGAUCAAUAGACACACAUUAAAUCGAUUAAUAUUUCAUAUAUGAUAAUAAGAUCAAGAGAUAAUAUGAAUAAAUUUGGAUUGGACUCAAAUAAACCUUUAUUAUAAAAGUUAUUGGGUUUGGACUUAUUUAGUUUUAAAUAUAUAAUUUUGGUUUAAUAAAUUUUAAAUGAUUUUUAUUUUUAUAAAAUUAAAGUAUACAUGAGAGAGUCCGUGUAUAUAUUAAUCUCACAUGACAUUAAAAUCGAGUUUUAUAUUAAAAGUUUUAAAUGUACAAAGGUGAACUUCAGGGAAGACAAAGUAAAAAAAAUUAAAAAUUUUAAGUGGAUCUCCCUUUAAUUUAAAAAUGCAAAUGAGAUUGGGAAAAAGAAUCGAAGAUCCGUAUUAUUAGAUUUGUGUGAGAAAAAAAAAAUCGCAUUCUUUCGUUCAAAAUUUUCUUAAAAAAACUGAAUUUAUAUGUGAUAGUAGCUCAUCCUCUGCAAUUAUAAAAAUAAAAUAGACUAAAUUCUUAUUACAAAGCAAGAGAGGAGGAAAAGAUCUAAGAGUUUUUAUAUCUUGGUAUGCAUUUAGCUACAGUAUGAGCUCCAGAUUUAACUGAUAACAUAGUCCAUGUAAUUUAAUUUGGACAAUGAAUGAAAAGUGACAAUGACUUCCAGAUAUCCAUGAUUUAAAUUACAAUGGAAAAAUAGAAGAAGAAAUGAGGAAGAAUGUGAGGGACUGGGACUAAUUAAUAUAUUAAAUAUUUUACAUCUAACUCUCUUAAUGUAUACACUUCUUCUGAACUUUAUCUGAGAUGAACAGUUAUAGAGAUGAACAGUCAGAGAGGGUGUUGAAAGAGAGAGCUCCCAAUGCAAUUCACAUCCUCCGCUUCAUGCUCUACCAUAUCACUCUCAAAUGGCUGCCAUGCAAUGUGCUCUAACUUCUCUUAUGGACUCUCAAAACAAACCAUAUGCCUUCAACAAAUCAACAUUAGAAUUACCUUUCCAGGACGCUUCUUCUUCUUCCAGCAACAAUGAGAAAUUCUCUUCAAAAUCCAAAAAGUACUCCUCUAAUUUACACCUCACCAUCUUUCAGCCAUGGGAAAUCAUACACCCCAAGUCCCAACUCGAAUUCCCAUGCAUCUCAACAACAAUCCUCUUUCUCUCUAAUAAAGAACGAAGAAAGAAAGAACGAGCGAUUUUUUUCCCUCACACAAACCUUAUAAUACGGAUUCUUAAUUUUUUAAUGCCAUGUAUGAUUAAUGUAUACAUUGAUCAUAUCACGUAAGCGAAACUUAAACGAUCUUUUGUUCAAUUUGACGGCAGGCUCUAAUUACUUCAAUUUUUAAAAAAUAAGGAUCUAAUUAAGAUGGCAUAAAAAAAAAGGGACUUAUUUGACAUUUUGGACCAAAAUAGGAACAAACCGAGACAUUAAACCUAUAGUCUUUCAUAAUUAUUCUUUUCCAUUUGUUAUUUAAAAAACGUUAAAAUUAGAAAAUGUUAAUUUAUAUAACAAAGAUAAUAAAGAAUUUUAAAUGGAAAUAAUUAUAAUUUUAAAGCAUAAAAUUUAAUAAAUCUAUACUUAUAUAUAUAUAUAUAUAUAUAUAUAUAUAUAUAUAUAUAUAUAUAUAUAUAUAUAUAUAUAUAUAUAUAUAUAUUAUGGGUUUGUUAACGUGCGUAUGCCUCUUUUCAGUUGGUACAUUUUAACAAUGUGUACCGGAUUAUAGUAGACAAAAAUAUCAUCAUAUAUUAUGGAUUCUAAGUUUUAAAGUCAAGGAUAUUUAAAUAAUUUUCAUUCUGAAAACUAAAAAAAAAAAAGAAAUCCCCAAACCCUUACUCACCUCUCCCAUUCCUAUCAAUUCUUUCUGUUUCAUUUCUCUCACUCCAACUUUUUCUCUGUCAUUUUUACUAUAGCCCCAAUUAAAAAAAAUUAGAAAAACUUGCUGUUAAGAAAUUUCUUACAAAAAAAUGAUUUUAUAAUGAGUUUUCAUUUUAUAACUUUUGUCUUAUCUAAUUUUCACAAGCAUAAUGACAUAUGAAGGAAUUGGUAAUUCGCCUGAAAAAAAAAAUAAAAAACACUCGCUAUUAAACAAUUUCUUACAAAAAAUGAUUUUAUAAUGAGUUUUCAUUUUAUAAUUUUUGUCUUAUCUAAUUUUAUUUAAUUUUCACAAGCAUAAUGACAUCAGAAGGAAUUAGUAAUUGGCCUGAAGAUUUUUUAAGAAAUGACGAUUCAACAUCUGCAGAUGAUGAAAUUAGAGAUGUUAGUGAAGAUGAUGAAAUUGAAGAGAUCUUGAAUGAACCUUUGCCUGAAAGCGAAUAUGCCAAUGACUCAACUCUUUACAAAGGUAAAUUGUUUAAGGAUGAGUAUUUCUAAUUUUUUUUUCAAUUGGAUCUACCAUAGGAUGAUAGAGAAACGGUUGGAGUGAGAGAGAUGAAAGAGAAAGGAUUGAGAGGAAUGAGAGAGGUGAGUAAGGGUUUGGGUUUUUUUUUUNUUUUGUUUUGAGAAUGAAAAUUAUUUAAAUAUCCUUGACUUUAAAACUUAGAAUCUUAAUAUAUGAGGGUAUUUUUGUCUACUAUAAUCCGGUACACAUUGUUAAAAUGUACCAACUGAAAAAUAGGCGUACAUAUAUAUAUAUAUAUAUAUAUAUAUAUAUAUAUAUAUAUAUAUAUAUAUAUAUAUAUAUAUAUAUAUAUAUAUACAAACACACACACACAUACGGGGUUUGUUAACAUACGUAAGCUAUAUUUUUACAGUUAAUACAUUUUAGCAAAGUAUACCGAGUUUUAGUAGACAAAAAUACCCUUAUACAUUAUGGAUUCUAAGUUUUAAGGUCAAAGAUAUUUGAAUAAUUUUCGUUCUUAAAACUAGAAAGAAAAACAAGAAACCUGCAAACCCUUAGUCACCCUUCUCUCAUCCCUCAUUCCUCUCAACCAUUUCUCUUUUAUCACUCUCUGUAACCUUUUCUCUGUCAUCCCUAUAAUAGCCCCAACUGAAAAAAAAAAAAUCAGAAACACUCGCAUAACCCUAAUCCACCUUCCUCAUUUAUCCAAUUUGUUUCUCUCUCAUCUUCACCUCUCUCGUCCACACACAGUAACUCGCGACAUUGCAAUUUGUAGUUCUUGCUCUGUUCGUUCAUUUGUUUCCACUUUAAUAACAAAAUAAUUGAUGAUGUUGAUGUUGAUUUUUGAUUGAAGGGUUGUUAUAUUUUUUUCCCUUAUGAUUAUUAUUAAAUUUUGUUUUUAAAUUUUAGAAUUAGUAGUUUAUCUAUAGGGAGAUUUGAUAUUUUGACUAUUAAGUUGUCCGAAAAUAUUUUUCAGAAGAGAAAAAUAGUUACGUGGAAAGGCGAUUCCCGAAAGGGUAAGUCAUUGUCCAAAAAAUGGAUUUCUGAAGUCAGUUCUUAAAAAUAAUUCUAAAAACAUAUUUUGCGCUGAAAGCAAUACUUUGGAAUAUACUUUUCACCUUCCUGCAUAUAACCAACGUCAAAACACAACAAAAAAUGAAGCUCAUGUACAUCGUACUAAAUGAUUUAACAGGAAAAAAUUAUUGAAGAGAGUUAUGAACAUAAAAGAAUUUUGUUGUUGUCCACUAGACUUUUCACUCAAUUCUGGUUGUGUAAUAUUGUUCAUCACUCCUGAUGUCCACUAGACAAACUCGUCUAGGUACCGCUUAAUCCAACCAAGUUAAGCCUUAAGUGUUUGAAUUAUCUUCAAAAUAUGCAAUCAAUCAAAUCACCUACAAGUCAUUAGAUGAUUACUCUCAUAGUGAGGAUUUGCUUACAAUAUAAUUCAAUCUAAUAGACUUUUGAAAUUUUCUUUUUUCUUACAAGUGUAACUUUCUAACUCUAAACAACUCUGAGAGUAUUCUUGAUCUUUCAAUGAGGAUGAUUUUUCUUUAUAUUCCUUAUGUGUCCAUCCUUUUUUCCUUCUUAACCAGAUAUCUUCUCUUUAUAAGCGUUUUUUGAGAAUUUAGUCGUUAGAUGAUGCUUGUCUUUGAAUUUUAGCUCUUUGUAGCCUGCCUUUAUCAUAGGUGGUUGUCAUAGGUUGAGGUCUACUUGUCAAAGUAGGCUUACUUUUUUAGUACUUUAUCAAAAGUAGGUUGUACGAAUUCUUUGGCUCGACUUUUGAUAAGAAGGUCAUUCCAUGAAUGUCUUCUUUGUCUCUAACUUGUAUUUGAUAGAGAAGGUGGAUGCUUGACUUAGGUAAUUUGCAUAAAGUAGAGUAGAUAUUCAUACAAGCAUAUAUGUCUGUUUUCCUUUCACUUUUGCUAUUUUGAGACAUUGUGUUUUUUAAUGCGCGUUUAGAACAACUAUAAGUAUUUUAAAAUUUCCUUGCUCAAGCAGCAUUUGGUUGUUUAAGCAUUCUAGUAGAGAUACCUAGUAGAUCAUGAGAGUUUCAUCAUUGGAUGAAAACUUCGUUUAGCACAUGAUAUCGUUUAGCCUAUGCAAGGCUUUUCAUAAUAGUGCCUUGUUUAAUAAAUACUCGUUUGAUUUAAGAGCGCAUUUAGUGAGAUAUCUUUCAACAUCAAUUUUUGGAACAAUGAUUGUAUCUUUUAGCACAUUUACCAAAAACAUCAUUUUAUAUAUAUCAUAGUGAGAUCUUGUUUAGCUUUGUUUAGCAAAGUAUAGCACAAAUGUGUUUAACAAGACUCUCAUAUAGCUCAAUGACGCAUUUAGUAGUGAAAUCGUUUAGUAGUGCAUCUACUUAUGUAUUAGUGCAUUUAUUAAAGUUUUUUCUUUCAUGGAAAGUCUUUUUAUGUAGCGAUAUGAGUUUUACAAAGGUAAUACUUUGUUAAUCAUCUAUUUCGGUCAUAUUCUUAUUUACUAAUUCUCAAGUCAUGUGAAGAUGCUAAACAAUCUUGAUCUUAUCUUAGCAAACUUCCUUUCUUCUUGUAGUACUGAUUUAUUGUGUAGCACUAUCGUUUUGUAUUAUGUCUCUUCUUAGGAAUGAAUUGUUUUCUUUUAGGAUGAAGAUAUAUUCUUUUAUUUUACGAAUAUUUUAUUUGCAAUGCGUGAUUACUUGAUAGAUUCUUGCACUCAAUGUUUUGUCAGUUUUACUUGGACACUUCUUAUGCUUAUUGCUUUGUAAUUGUAUAUUUGUAGGCAUACUGUAUGUAGGCUUCUUCUAUGUUUCUAUGUUAUUUCAGCUUAUCUCUUUUGUUGUUUAACAACUUAUGUAACUUUAGAUGUAACCUUGAUUUUUACUUUGAUUUGGCUUGACAAUAUAGAUGCUUCUAACCUUAGACGUUUUUCUUUUGGACAUCUUUUUUCCGCUAAAUGGAUAACUAGAUGGUUUGCAAAGUCCACUUUCUAGUGUUUAGAUGAUUUUUCUUUUACAAUUAUCAGAUAAUGUCAUCGAUAAAUAUAUCAUCCAUAAAUAUCAUCCAUAAAUAUAAUGAAUAAUUGUACUUAAUUUAUCUAUCAUUCUAAAAAUAACUUUUUUUUCUAAUCGACUUAAUGAGUCCACUACUAAAUUUAUUAUUAUAUAUUAUUUAAUAAUAUUAUCUUGAAAAUAUUUUAUCAAGAUAAUUUUAUGAAAUAUUAAUUAAAAAACAAUAAACAUUUAUAACAUUUAUAAGAAAGUGUGAUAUUUGAGAAAAACAUAAUAUAAUAUUUAAAAUAAAAGACAACUUAUUAGAAGAAAUGAGAAGAACAGGGAUGGAACUAAAGGUUAAUAAAUAAAAUUGAUGUUUUUCUAUUUUUACAAUUAAUUAUUUUUAGAAUAAAAGUUGUGUAUGGAAUUAAAAAUUCUAUACAAUAAUUUGUUAAGAGAUAAAAUAUGGUCGUAGAGGAUUAAUAAUUUAUUUAUUAAUUUUUCUAUUACUUUUGAUAGUUAACCAUGGAUGAUUGUUAUAGUUUUUUAGAACAUUAGUUACUUUCCUUAGUUAGUUUUAAUUUUUUUUUUCUACAAAUAGUUGAGUAAAUUAUUUUUCUAUACCAUAUGUUACGGAUGUUUCUUUAAUUAGUUUUAUACUUUCUAGCAAAUAAUUAAACACAAUUAUUAUCUUACGCAUGAAUGUGAAACAUGAUAUAAAUGUGUAAAAUUAACUUAUGAAAUCUUAUGAAAUAUAUGUUAAUGAAGUUGAAUCUCAUUUUCAAUUAAAAGGAAAACAAACUGAAAGAAAGACAACACCAAUUUCAUUCAUGUAUUUAUGAGGUGUCAAAGUUUCAUUUUAACAUUUUGUCUUUUCACAUAAUAUUAAUUGAAAAAAAAAAGUAAUGAAAAGGUGGAGAAAAAAAUGUAUGAUUUUAGUAUGUCUUCCGUUGUAGCCAAAAAACUGCUCACUGAAAGGAAUUAAAAAAUAGAUUUGAAUAGGAGUCUGUCAGACAACCCUGCAACCAUCCCCAGCUUGUAAAGUCAGGGAACGAUCCUCUACAGCUGGUGAUGGGUCUCGUCCAGAAACGAAGCCCACACUGCCGUUAAUCACGCUCUGAUCACAGGGUAAUAAUUCAUCCACCAGACUUCAGUUCCUGUCUCCUUAGAACUUAAGGAUACAGAGGUACGAACCUAUAGAACAGAUCCUGUUCAAGUAAGGUCGU